rnacentral:lncRNA from 1 species
AAUUCAAUAGGGGCUAAUCAAAUUCCGUAAGGAUAUAGUUGAAUGCCGCACUGUUCCUUAUCCUCAAAUUCCCGUAGCUUUUGUCUCAGCUCUGGCUGAGGCCACCAGCAAUCGAACUUGUUUAAGCUCUUUAUGCACCAGAGCUGUUCAGGCAUCUUUUUCAAGUAAGCACAAGGGUUGAUAAUCAAGCAUUCUAGUUUUGGCAUGGCUGCAUUCCCCAUAGUCCACUCCUCUAGCCAUAGCAUUGAUUUCAGGUGCAACACCUUGAGGUUCGGAAAACCAUAAGAGCCACAAGUCAGCUUUCUACCUGAAUACGAGUUUUGCUUCAGUUUGAGCACUUGAAGAAGCGGCAGCUUUUCUAGUGUCGGCAUGGGAUCGUCCAUUAGGUCAGUAUUAGAAAAACUCAAGUGGGUUAGACUAUGAGGAAAUAGGUAUUCAGCAAGGAUGAUUUUGGAGAGCCGUGGCAUCUUGCUUUCGUUCACCAACUUCAAUGACCCGAGGCAGCUCAAUCUGCAAAUACUUUUGGACAACAAAGAUUGAUUAUAACUUAAAUCUCCCAAUAUGCAGAGAUUUCGAAGACUAGGCAGUCUGCCCAAUAUGUCUUCAGUACAGCAGCAAGGAUGCAAGGCCGAAAUGAAAUUUAGAUUUUCCAGAGAGCCACAAUAUUUUCCUGGAUGCGCAGGAAGUGUGAUUGACCCAAAAUUUAGAUGCCUGAGAUUGUUCAUCUUCCAAAAUUCAUCUGCCGUAUGAUCUAUGUAGCUAAAGGGCAUGUCUAGGGUGUAGAGGUUUAGAAGAUUGCUUAAUAAUGAUGAAGGCAGGCUUUUGAGGGAAGGGAUAUUCAACUUCAAAUAUCUCAAAAGAAAUAAAUUUUCAAUUCCGGAUGGAUAUUGGAUGAGAACAAGAGAUCCCAAAUCCAAUACUCUGAGAAGUUUGAACAUUCCACAAAAUUUCUCCCAAUCUAUGGGGUCAAAGUGGCGGGUUUCUGGAGAGAAGCACAAGAAAGAAUGCAGUUGCGAGUUGUAAUCAUCUAAGCAAGCAAAAUCACCCUCUCUUUCAACAGCGUUUAACCGUUUGGCUUUUUUUCCUGAUUCUCUAUGGAUAGAAGGGGAAAAGAUGAAUUCCACCUCAGGAGGAACUAAGAGCAACACGGGACGCCAACGGCCAGGAAUAGAGCAUGUGUUGAUAGUGCCUCCGGCUUUUCUCUUCUUUGCUUCAACAAAGCCUCCCUUGAUUAGUUGUUCUAAGUAACUCUCAGCAGUUGCCUCACUAUUGUCUGGAAUGAAACCUUCAGCUAUCCACAACUGAUAUAACUGCCUGGUGGAUAUCUCUAGGUGUGCGGCAAACACAGAUAAGUAGAGGAAACAAAGUUUCAAGCAAAAAGGUAAACUGCAACAUUUGAAGUACCGACGCGCAAAGGGUCGGCUGGUUGCUUCCGUUUUAUUUUCUUUUAAUGAGAUGCUUCCAUGAUAUAAGAUGGGGAAAGGCCAUCCUUUAUAUGUAGCUCUCAAUGGUCCUCCAGUGGGCACAAAAUCAAGCCCAAUGUUCUCUCCGUCUUCGAACUGAAAUGAGGUGACAAUCUCAAUUCGGCUGAGUGUGAUUAAUACUCUACUUCCAUUCUGAUUAUCCGGAAGUAUUUCUCGAAUAACAUCCCACAUAUCAAUUCUCCAUACAUCAUCAAUCACAAUCAAAUACCGCUUGGUCAUCAGAUAUUCAUGAAGAAUAACUUUUUUCAUUUCAUAAUUUUUAUCCAUUAUUUCACUCAACCUAGAUGAAGGCAUCAGACACUUAAUAACGAUAUCUAAUAUUUGGUCAGCAUCAUAUUCAUUUCUGUAAGGCUCUGAAAUCCAAGCGUGACAAUCAAAAUAAUGCUUCACAUAACUGCUGUUGUAAGCCUCUCCGGCGAAAGCCGUUUUGUCCAACCCAAUGCUAUCAAGUAUGGCCACCACUGAAUGCUGAGUUGGUCCCUCGAUCAAUAGAUCUAACAACUCCUCCAUUCUAUCAUCUAGGCCCACCGUGUUCCAAUUCUUAGAAGAUGAAGAUAUACCGGCUUCAGCUUCCAGAUUUUUGAAGGCAUCAAAGAUUUCGGAAUCGAUGUGCGGAACUUGUUGAGUCCGUUGUUUUAUAUCAAUGAUUCUGCUUUGGAGUCCUUGGAGAGCAUAAAAAAUGUCCUGGCUGCAGCUGCUUUGACUCUUCUGUUCACUAAUGCUGUUGAUGAAUGUGUCAAUGACCUUCUCAGAUUCAUACGUAAAGCAAUUGAUUUCGUCCAUAACGGUCGCCAGAUCUGGGUUUUCAAUUUCUCCGUGUCCUAUCUUUUCCCGCAGAAGGCAGGACGUUUCACAUUCAAAUUCACUUAGCCAAGAAGUAACGAUUUCAAUCUCGGCAUGAAGGUUCUGAACAGGUUGUUUUGCAGCAUCAGGCAACUUGACUUCUUCACCAGCUAACACCCUUCGCAGCCUCUCGGAAAAUAGUCUGAACUUGAUGUCCAUAUCUCCUCCUCUCUCUGAGUCACCCCGAAAUCAGUCCUGUAGCAUGCAAAGAAAUAAUUAAAAGAGAGAGGGGAAAAGGAAAAUAUGCUUUAAAGCUCUCAAUUCAAACAUUAGUGCUGGCUCCCGUACCUCCCUUCUCUUAGCUAGUUCUCCAGUCAAGAAGUUGAAUCAAGAUCGUUGACUCUCAAAUGAGAACAUAUCAAGGCAGAAUCUUUGUUUAAAAAAAAAAAAAAAAUCAUUGUUAAAACUUCUUAGCUCUUAAUUCAAAUAUUUAUGUGUCCGCUGAAACAUUUGUUGUUGAUGAAUGGAAUUGGUCUUAGGUUGACCGACGCAACUCUUUCUCUCAGCACUCAAGUAGUGUGAGCAUGUUAGUUUAGUCAAUAGUUUCUCCUAUACAUAAAUGAUGUUUUAUUAUAGAAUUUUGAUAAUAUGUACAAUGGGGAAGUAGCUGUAGAAAAGAGAUUGGGUUUUGGUUUAUGUGAUAUGGACUUGGAGCAUAAUAAAUUAUACAACUUGCAAUUAAAUCCAAAAUUGCAGUACUUCAUUACUUUUGUCUUCUGUGAAUAUAAAACACUGACUGUGUAAUCAUAGUACUUUUUUAAUAAGGACUAUGAUGAAAAUUAAAGACAAAUAAUGAUUUCAUGGAGUUAGUCACUGAGACACUGACUGCUAUAUCAUGAACAAGUUUUUCCGUGACUGUUUCUCGUGAAAAGGAAAUUUUUAAAAACUUUAUCAAUGCAGGUGAUGAAUAAAUAUGCUACCACUUGCAGCUAGGUUGGAGAAGAUGAGGGGAAGGUGACGCUAAUGAAUAAAUAUGCUACCACUUGCAAUUAAUAAAAUGCUAACCCUGUCUGGUAUGCUAGCUCUGUUCAUUGAAAGCAAAAGCAAUGGAAUCUUUGACCUUGCUGCCACAAGAUGAUUGUCAUGGAAGGCACCAAAGUUUCCAAGUAUGUAUGUAUAUCACACACACAUACUUGCAUGUAUGUAUAUCACAGAUAAAAUUUGUAUCCCAGGGUUAUAAAUGUGAAUUACUCACAUAAAUAUGCAUUAUUAAUCAUGUACGAUGCUCUCUUAUUUCUUCAACGAGAUUUAGAGAAAGUACUAAAUCCUUUGUAAAAUUUUAUAUUUAAUAUAUCUUCAUUUUAAAACUACAUCCAUAUCCCGCAUAAAUUUGGGGAUCAUUUUAGCAUUGUUUUUUAAGAAAUGCAAAUUGAUAAAGAGUUCUAACCGCGACAUAAGGGUGACAAAAAUAAUAGUAAAUUGUGCAAUGUUACAAUGUUAAUUCAAAAUAGUUAUAAUUUUUUAUUUAAUACGGUAAAUAAAAUUUACAGUUGUUUUGUAAUCAUUGUAUGAUUCUUUGAUUCAAAUAUCAUUAUUAUAUGAACCCUCACCUUUUUGAAAGGAUUACAUCUUAAGAAACUAUUUAUAAUUAUUUUCAUUUGAGUCAUUAGUGUUAAAAAUAUAACAAUGAAAUUAAUGAUAGUCGAAUUCCAAGUAGGAAUGACAGAAAAAUCCGGUCUAACUAGAGCAUGUUUUCUAAGUACUCUGGCUGGACUUGGACUUUGGUUUAAAAGCCCGAACCCAACCAGAAAGCCCAAAAAAUAUUGAAAAUUUUAAAAAUCUAUAUUACUUUAAUUAAAAUACAACUUUUUACAUAUAUGUAAUCCACUUAUAGCAUAUAUUUAAAGUUUUAAGUUAUUUGAACCCAACUAUUAAAGCCUAAUCUAACAAAGAAAAAACUAAAUUUUAUAAACUAUAAAAUUUGUAAAAUAUAAUGAAAAAAGUUUUUUUUUUUAAAAUACAUAAUGUAUACUUCAAGCUUUUUGGCUUGGCUUUGGAAAAAAAAAAAAAAAACCAACGUUUUGUCAUCCCAAAUUCCAAGCCUUAAAUACUUCUCCAAAUGUAUAGUACAACAUUGUAUAAUAGGACCAAUCACAUGGAGAUGAUUUGUAAAUUUUUGCACGCAAUUUUAAUAUGCACAUCAGAAGAGAGGCAGCAAUCUUAGUUGAUACUUUUAUUUGACAUAUGAUGUAAGAAAUGAAACAAAGAUUGUUGUUAACAUAAAUUAUUCUUUAUUGAUUUUGAUGAUAACAAACAUGAUUAAGAUUAAUUAAUCUUUUAAAAACUCAUCAUAAUUUUCAUCUAUUUUGACAAGUUUCAUAAAGUUUUUUUAUAAAGAUUUGGAGACAAAACAGUCAUCUUGCAAAAUAGUUCACUGCAGCAGUUUUUGUGGUAAACGGCGAUCCGACAUGUGUAAUAAACGGCUUGCCGAUUUCAAGCAGAAAUGGAGAUUAGCCUCUGGACGUAAACGGCGAUCCGACAUGAAUAAUAAACGGCUCGCCGAUUUCAAGCAGAAAUGGAGAUUAGCCUCUGGACGUAAACGGCGAUCCGACAUGUGUAAUAAACGGCUCACCGAUUUCAAGUAGAAAUGGAGAUUAGCCUCUGGACGUAAACGGCGAACCGACAUGUGUGAUAAACGGCUCGCCGAUAUCAACCAGUAGCCUCUGGACCUAAACGGCGAUCCGACAUAUAGGUAACGGCGAUCCGACAAUUUGAAAAAUCAGCCCAACGGUCAUAUUGACCAGUCAAACGGCGAUCCGACAUCUAGCUAACGGCGAUCCGACAGUGUACAGAAAGUCAAUAACGGCUAGUUUUCAGCUGCAGCUAUAAAUAAGCUCAUUCAAAUUCAAACAAAGCUUGAUCACAACACGACCAUUGAGCUAAUAUUCGAGAAUACAAUCUUCAUAGAGCUUAGAACACAUUCUUGCUUCAUCUAUUCACAAAUUAAGCAUCAUUGUGUAAUCCUAUAUAUUGUGAGAGGCAAAUCAAUUUGUAAUCUUUUACUUUGAGUGAUUGUAAGUGUUGGGAUACACUUGGGUUAAGAGAUUGGGGAUAAUCUCUUGUUGUAAAGGUUUAUUGACACCUUGGAAGUCAAGUGUAAGCAUUUGAAGCCUUGGAGGCUUGCUUAGUGAAAUCUUCAAGCCCAGUGAGCUUGGAGGAGUGGACGUAGGCGGGGAUUGCCGAACCACGUAAAAAUUAUUGUGUUUGCUCUCUCUUCCCUUACUCCUUUACUAUUGUGCUUUAUUGAAUUUAUUGUUUUUGAUUCCAUUAAGGCAUUAGAUUAAAUUGUUGUGUGAUUUGCUUAGCUUAAUUUUAAAAUCCCAAUUCACCCCCCCUCUUGGGUUGCACACUUGUAUUUCAUUUGGUAUCAGAGCCUUGUUCUCUUAUUAAGACUUAAUUGUCUAGAGUAAAAGAUCCAUGGCAACCCUAAAUGACUCAACCUUUAGAGAAGGGCAAUCUACAACUAGACCACCAUUCUUUGAUGGAAAUGACUAUGCUUAUUGGAAAACUAGAAUGAGAAUCUACUUGCAAGCCUUAGAUUAUGAAAUUUGGAAAGUUGUUUGUGACGGUUCAUUCAUGCCUAUGUUUAAAGAUGAAGUAGGAGAUGAUAUUCCUAAACCAUCAAGUCAAUGGAGUGAGUUAGAAAAGAGAAAAAUGUCUCUAAACUCCAAGGCUAUGAAUGCUUUGUUUUGUGCCCUUGAUAAGAAAGAAUUCCAUAGAGUAUCUAGUUAUGAAAGUGCAUAAGAGAUAUGGAACAAACUUGAAGUUGUCUAUGAAGGGACAAAUCAAGUAAAAGAGUCUAAAAUCAGUAGAUACACUCGUCAAUAUGAGUUGUUCCAAAUGGAACAAAAUGAAAAUGUGUAUUCUAUGUAUACUAGAUUCACGGACAUAGUGAACACCCUAGGUGCCUUAGGGAAAAUCUUCUCAAAUAGUGAGAAAGUUAAGAAAAUCAUUAGGUCACUUCCAAAAGAAUGGAGACCUAAAAGAACCGCCAUUGAAGAGGCCAAAGAUUUAAAUACUUUACCUCUUGAUGAUUUAAUUGGUUCUCUCAUUUCAUAUGAAGAGGAUUUAGCUGCAGAAAAAGGACAUGAUGAGAAGAAGAAAAGCAUUGCUCUCAAAGCUUCAAAAUAUGAGAGUGAUGGGGAGAGUGAACCAGAUGAUGAAGAGCUAGCCAUGCUAGCAAGGAGGUUCAGAAAAUUCUUCAAGAAAACCGGAGAGCGAAGAAAUUUCAGAAACUUCAAGAACCUUAGGGAGAAGAAGGAGGCAAUCACAUGCUAUGAAUGCAAGAAGCCUGGACAUAUAAGAUCAGAGUGCCCACUAAUCAACAAACUCAAGAAGAAAGCAAUGGUUGCAACUUGGGAUGAUAGUGAGGAAGAAUCAAGUGAUGAAGAAGGAUCGCAAGAAGUAUCAAACCUAGCACUCAUGGCAAUAUGAGGGAAUUAUGAUCUCAAUGAGGUAAGUGAUCCCACCUAUGAUGAAUUGUAUGAUGCUUUUAAAGAUUUACAUAAUGAGUUGAUGAAGAUUGGUAAAAAGAAUGUAUGUCUUAAAAAGGAAAUGGCAAAGCUUAAAAAUGAAAAUGAAUCUCUAAAUGCAAGAAUUGUUUGCCUAGAAGUAGGAAACAAAACAUUGCAUGAUGAAAUUGCAUUAUCAAAUGAAAAACCUAGCAUCUUACAUGAGCAUUUAGAAUCGCACAUAGAUGAGUUGAAAAAUGAGAACGAAAUGCUCAAGAAAAAGAGUAAUGAAUUGAAUGAAAUUGUUUUAAAAUUUACAAAUGGGCAAAAGAUGUUGGAUAAUAUGCUUAACUCACAAAAAUGUGUUUUUGAUAAAGGAGGACUUGGAUAUAAGCCUAACUUGAAGCAAAAGUAUUAUAAGAAUUAUUUUGUUAAAUCUACCUCCACAAAUGAUCAUAAGAUUGUAUGUCAUUAUUGUAAUCAAAAUGGUCACAUGAAAUAUAGAUGUCCCGUGAAAAGGAAUGCAUAUUAUGGUGUCAAAUGCAUUUGGGUUCCAAAAGGAACCGUUGCUAACUCUCAAGGACCCAAAAAGUUUUGGGUACCUAAAACUUGAGAUUUUUUCUUGUAGGGCUUGAAGAAGAAGAAAAAUAAAUGGUACUUGGACAGCGGUUGUUCAAGGCACAUGACCGGAAACUAUGCAUGGUUCUCAAGCUUCACCAAAAUUGAAAAUGGUGGAGACGUAUCUUUUGGAGACAACUCAAAAGGAAAAAUUCUUGGAAUUGGAAAUGUUGGUAAAGUCUCUUCAACUCUAAUUGAGAAUGUAUGUUUGGUUGAGAACUUGAAACACAACUUAAUUAGCAUUAGUCAAUUAUGUGACAAAUGUUAUAAAGUUAUCUUUGAUAAAUUUAGUUGUGUUAUUGAGAACUCAUGUGAUGGCAAAACCUUAUUUGUUGGGAAUAGAUGUGGUAAUGUUUAUAUCAUUGACAUAAAAUGUGCAUCUACUCUUGAUAAAUGUUUUUCGGCAUUGCAUGAUGAUUGUUGGUUAUGGCACAGAAGGUUAGGACAUGCAAGUAUGGAUUUGAUUUCAAAAAUUUUGAAAGAUGAUUUAGUUAAAGGUCUUCCGAAAAUUGGUUUUCAAAAGGAUAAGAUUUGUGAAGCUUGUCAAUUUGGAAAACAAAUUAAAACUUCUUUCAAGAAUAAAAACCAUAUUUCUACUUCAAAACCACUUGAACUUCUUCACAUAGAUCUUUUUGGGCCAUCUAGAUAUGCGAGUCUAAAUGGCAAAUAUUAUGCAUUUGUGAUAGUGGAUGAUUAUUCUAGAUAUACAUGGGUAUUAUUCUUAGCCAAUAAGGAUGAUGCUCUUGAUGCUUUUAAAGUGCUUUGUAAGAAAUUACAAAAUGAAAAAGUGCAUGGUAUUGUAUGCAUUAGGAGUGAUCAUGGAGGAGAAUUUGAAAAUCAUGCAUUUGAGAUUUUUUGCAAUAAUCUAGGCAUUGAGCAUCAAUUUUCAUCACCUAGAACUCCACAACAAAAUGGAGUUGUUGAGAGAAAGAAUAGGUCUAUUCAAGAAAUGGCUAGGACCAUGCUAAAUGAAAAUGCAUUACCAAAAUAUUUUUGGGCCGAAGCCGUCAACACCGCUUGUUAUGUUUUAAAUCGGGUGUUGAUUAGACCUAAUUUUAAUAAAACUCCCUAUGAGCUUUGGAAAGAUAGAAAACCCAACAUUGGAUAUUUCAAAGUUUUUGGAUGCAAAUGUUUUAUUUUAAACACAAAAGAUAAUCUUGGUAAAUUUGAUCCAAAAUCUGAUGUUGGCAUCUUUCUUGGGUAUUCAAACUCAAGUAAAGCUUAUAGAGUUUAUAAUAAAAGAACUUUAGUUGUGGAGGAGUCCAUGCAUGUUACGUUUGAUGAAUCUAACCCCUCCUCUGCGGAGAAAGGAGUUGCUAAUGAUGAUGCAGAUGGAGAGUUACAAGAAGAAUCAUCAAAAGAGAAUCAAGAGAAUGCACCACAAGAAAAUCAAGAGGAUAGACAAGAAGAACAAACAAAUAUGGAGCUGGAACAACAAGAUGGUAUUUCUCAAACACUCCCCAAGGAGUGGAGGUAUGUCUCUUCUCACCCUAAAGAUGUAAUUUUAGGAGAUCCCUCACGAGGUGUUACAACUAGAUCAUCACUUAAGAAUACUUGUGAGCAUAAUGCAUUCAUUUCUCAAAUUGAACCCAAAUCCUUUGAGGAUGCGGAAAAUGAUGAAUCUUGGAUUAUGGCAAUGCAAGAGGAAUUAAAUCAAUUUGAAAGAAACAAUGUGUGGGAAUUAGUUCCUAAACCGGAACAUCAAUCCGUCAUAGGUACUAAAUGGAUUUUUAGAAAUAAGAUGGAUGAAUCCGGUGUGGUUGUAAGGAAUAAAGCUAGAUUAGUGGCUCAAGGUUACAACCAAGAAGAAAGAAUUGAUUUUGAUGAAACUUUUGCACCCGUUGCUAGACUAGAAUCAAUUAGAAUGUUGUUGGCAUUUGCAUGUCAUAAAGAUUUCAUCUUAUUUCAAAUGGAUAUGAAAAGUGCUUUCCUAAAUGGGUAUAUUAUGGAAGAAGUGUAUGUAAAACAACUCCCUGGUUUUGAAAAUGAAAAGUUUCCAAAUCACGUUUAUAAGUUGCUUAAAACCUUGUAUGGAUUAAAACAAGCACCUAGAGCAUGGUAUGAUAGACUUAAGAAUUUCCUGUUGGUAAAUGAUUUUUCAAUGGGUAAAGCGGAUACUACUCUAUUUGUUAAGCAUAAGAACCAAGAUAUACUUAUUGUUCAAAUUUAUGUUGAUGAUAUUAUUUUUUGUUCUACUAAUGAAUUGUUGUGUAAAGAUUUUUCAUCGUGUAUGAGCAAAGAAUUUGAGAUGAGUAUGAUGGGUGAGUUGAAGUACUUUCUUGGACUUCAAAUCAAACAAAACGAGGAAGGAAUUUUCAUAAAUCAAGCCAAGUACGUAAAAGAUCUACUCAAACGAUUAAGCAUUGAUAACUCAAAGACCAAAAAUACACCAAUGAGCACAACAACCAAGCUGGACAAAAAUGAAAAAGGCAAAGAAGUGGAUAUCAAAAUGUAUCGAGGUAUGAUCGGAUCCCUACUUUAUUUGACUGCAAGUAGACCCGAUAUCAUGUUUAGUGUAUGUUUGUGUGCAAGAUUUCAGUCUUGUCCCAAGGAAUCUCAUUUGCUUGCUAUUAAAAGAAUUUUCCGUUAUUUGAGUGGAACCAUAGAUAUUUGCCUUUGGUAUCCUAGGGGAACUCAUAUAGAUUUAACAUGUUAUUCGGAUGCGGACUUUGCCGGUUAUAAAGUGGAUAGGAAGAGCACUAGUGGUACUUGCUAUAUUCUAGGACACUCUUUUGUUUCAUGGUUUAGCAAGAAACAAAAUUCUGUCGCACUUUCAACUACCGAGGCUGAAUAUAUAGCUGCCGGAAGUUGUUGUGCACAAGCACUUUGGAUGAAACAAACACUUAGAGAUUAUGGCAUUAAUCUUGAACAAAUUCCUAUUAAGUGUGAUAAUACUAGUGCUAUUAAUCUUUCAAAGAAUCCCAUUCAACACUCUCGAACCAAGCAUAUAGAAAUAAGACAUCAUUUCUUGAGAGAUCAUGUUCAAAAGAGAGACAUUGCAUUAGAGUUUAUUUCUACGGAAAAACAACUUGCCGAUAUUUUUACAAAACCACUUUGCGAAGAACAAUUUUCCAAAAUUCGGCAUGAACUUGGGAUGAUGAAAUUUUCACAUUAACAGCUUUAUUCAUGCUAUUGAGUCUAUUAACAUUGAUUGAUCUAUGCCUUGAUGCUUUAAUAUCUAUGGAAUGCUCAAUCGCAAUAUACAUGUGAUGUGUAUGGACAUUUGAAAAUGUAUGAAUUAAUUGUUGCAAUACAUAUUUAUAUUCAUGAAUUAUGCAUUGAACUGGCACUCAAAUCAUUUUGGAUCAAUAAAAUGAUCUUGAAAUGUAUUAAUAAGUAGCCAAAUAUCAAAAUAAAUGUGCGAAAUCAUAAGUUGUAGAAAACGGAUUGCCGUUAUUUCAAUAAACGGCUAACCGUUUUGGGCAGAAAUAAUGGAAAGUUUUCUGGGCGCUAUCGGUUCGCCGAUAACUAUCUAUCGACUCGCCGUCCUGAUACAAAAUUUUGAGGAGACUCCCUGGACCCUAUCGGCUCGCCGUUUUGAUGAAAUUUUUUUGGAGGACACUCUGGACUUUGUCGGCUCACCGUUUUCUCUAUAACGGCUCGCCGUUAUCACGCGUUAAUUGAACAGUCUUUCGUCUUCCUCCUCAUUUCGGUUUCUCUUUCUCUCUCUCUCUCACUUCAACCCGCGACUGCACCAGUUCUCUCCUCUCAAAUCCAUCACUUUUCUUGUCAUUUUUCACCAAAUUGCAGCAUUACAAACCAUUUCUAUCAUCUCUAGCACCUUUUAACAGAUUCAAAUCCUUCUUUUUCUUCAAAUUUUGAAAAAUCUCAUCUUGAAACCCUAGAACCAGCCGAAUCUCAUUUGUUCAUUUUGACCCAAAUUUCUUCAUUUUUCCAACUACAUUUCCACCUACAAUCACUAUCUCACACUUCGUUUCCACAUAUUUUUUUUAUCUCAUCUAUGGCGGAACGACCCCAAAGGCGUGCUCAAACCAAGCACACUGCUCCGCGACGUUCUAGUCCCCCCAGGUCUCCUCCUCAAGACUUCGAGAGUCUUCAUUUUUCUGAUGCCACCUCUGCUCAGCGAUUUCGUGAGAAAUUCAUGGGUAAACCCAUAAGUCAUUCCUCGCGCCUAUUUCUUUUUUAUGAUGAAGGGGGAGAUAAUUGGCAUUAGCAUUAUUUUUUUUCUUUUCUUUCUUCUAAUCAAUCUGUUUUAAACUUGUUUGAGAUUAAAAUUAAAUGAACUCUUUUUUAAGGGAAGUUAACAAGUCUUUCAAAAUCUCACAUAGGGGGAGCACAUAUUUAGGGGGAGCAAAAGUGCACAAGUAUUUUCUUGAAAAGUUUGUCAUCAUAAAAAAGGGAGAGAUUGUUAACAUAAAUUAUUCUUUAUUGAUUUUGAUGAUAACAAACAUGAUUAAGAUUAAUUAAUCUUUUAAAAGCUCAUCAUAAUUUUCAUCUAUUUUGACAAGUUUCAUAAAGUUUUUUUAUAAAGAUUUGGAGACAAAACAGUCAUCUUGCAAAAUAGUUCACUGCAGCAGUUUUUAUGGUAAACGGCGAUCCGACAUGUGUAAUAAACGGCUCGCCGAUUUCAAGCAGAAAUGGAGAUUAGCCUCUGGACGUAAACGGCGAUCCGACAUGUGUAAUAAACGGCUCGCCGAUUUCAAGCAGAAAUGGAGAUUAGCCUCUGGACGUAAACGACGAUCCGACAUGUGUAAUAAACGGCUCACCGAUUUCAAGCAGAAAUGGAGAUUAGUCUCUGGAUGUAAACAGCGAACCGACAUGUGUGAUAAACGGCUCGCCGAUAUCAACCAGUAGCCUCUGGACCUAAACGGCGAUCCGACAUAUAGGUAACGGCGAUCCGACAAUUUGAAAAAUCAGCCCAACGGUCAUAUUGACCAGUCAAACGGCGAUCCGACAUCUAGCUAACGGCGAUCCGACAGUGUGCAGAAAGUCAAUAACGGCUAGUUUUCAGCUGCAGCUAUAAAUAAGCUCAUUCAAAUUCAAACAAAGCUUGAUCACAACACGACCAUUGAGCUAAUAUUCGAGAAUACAAUCUUCAUAGAGCUUAGAACACAUUCUUGCUUCAUCUAUUCACAAAUUAAGCAUCAUUGUGUAAUCCUAUAUAUUGUGAGAGGCAAAUCAAUUUGUAAUCUUUUACUUUGAGUGAUUGUAAGUGUUGGGAUACACUUGGGUUAAGAGAUUGGGGAUAAUCUCUUGUUGUAAAGGUUUAUUGACACCUUGGAAGUCAAGUGUAAGCAUUUGAAGCCUUGGAGGCUUGCUUAGUGAAAUCCUCAAGCCCGGUGAGCUUGGAGGCGUGGACGUAGGCGGGGAUUGCCGAACCACGUAAAAAUUAUUGUGUUUGCUCUCUCUUCCCUUACUCCUUUACUAAUGUGCUUUAUUGAAUUUAUUGUUUUUGAUUCCAUUAAGGCAUUAGAUUAAAUUGUUGUGUGAUUUGCUUAGCUUAAUUUUAAAAUCCCAAUUCACCCCCCCUAUUGGGUUGCACACUUGUAUUUCAAUUGUAACAUUACAAAUUUUGCAAUUCAGCAUCCAAAAUAUCACUAGAACUUGCAAUACAAGCUUUAAUCUCUUCAACAACACGUAGAAUUGCGGCCAGGAACACAAACGAAAAUAUAGUUAAUUAUGCAUGCAUUAAAAAGAUGAGGAAGAGAAGAUUAAGGAACAACAUGAGGCCACCAAGAGAGUGAUGAAAAAUGUGGAUUUAAGUUUAAGUUCCACAAUGUUUACGUAAGCAAAAGUACAAAACUGAGAGUCUGAGGAUAAUGAUAUUAUUAAAUUUAAUAUGGGUUUGGUUCGUUUAGAUUCAUGAGUUUCUCUAGACAGUAUAUAUGGGGGGGCCAAAACUACUUUGCAUCGUAGGUUUUGUACACCACUCAUUUGUCAUUUACCAAAGUCACCAUUGGAUUUUAUGUGAUGGCUAGAAAAGAAACACAUAGAGAAAUAGGAGUAACUAGAGAAACAAAUAAUGAGCCAGUCACCUAGAUUGGUAAUUGAGCAUAGGGAAAUUAAAAAAAUUAACCUAAAUAUUUUUGAAUUAUUGGCUACUUCCAGAAAAAAUCUAAACCAGCAGUUUUUGAUCAAGCAAAUAAAUUAAUGGCAACAACAACGGCUAAUCGAUGCAGCGACGACAAUAGCUACUUCCGGCAAGAGUGGCCUCUUUAAUUUGAGUUAGUUCGCUGAGUUUAUGUCCAAAUUCUUAAAUGGAUAAUGGAUUUAUUGUUUUAGUACUAAUUGUUGAUGAUUAUAGGUUAGAUCUUGUUGAGCGAUUAGUUUUGUAACAUUAAGCUUGAAUUGGGAAUGAAAAUUGAUAAAAUGCUUAUGGAAAUAAGUUUGUUAAAUAUGGCAAUACAAAUGUUUGCUAAAUGCAUCAAAGAAUACAAUUUGUUGUUUAGGCUUAAUUUUGCUAUUAUUUUACUUGAAUGAAUAUUUAAGAAGGUUGCAACUAGUAUUGUCACUUGAAUAUAGGCAAUGGUAUGGUGUUAUAGGUGAUUAUGAGCAAAAGGUGUUUGUCACGAUAACCUUACAAGUGAAAACCUUCUUUUUCUCAAACAAAACCCAGAUUAAGAAGAUUCAAUACUUCAUCAUAACUAUCAGAAAACAAUAUCAAGACAAUAAUGCCAAGAACCAUUGUCUGUAAACUUUAUCCAUUGGAAAAAUCGUAAAUUAUGCUUACACGUACAAAUUUUUUUUUUUCGAUUUACAGGUGCUACGCCUUCAGCCGGUUACUCGUUUUCCAAAUGUUAAAUCUCAGUUGUUAGAUACAUUUCUUCACAAUCUAACGGCUCAUUCGCUAUAAGACAAAGGACUAGGGUACCAAACUCAUGACGCAAGAUAGCUGGAUCCUAUAUGGAGGAAAUUUAAUCCAUUUGACAACUAAAAAAUUCAGAAAUCAGACCUCGAUUUGACAACUUAGAAAUUAAACAAUUAAAUUUGUUCCAUAUGCAUGCAGAAAAUUAGAUGUAUGUAACUUGUCAUAUGCUAUAUAUAUUCUAUUAGGUGGAAGAUUUUCUACUUCAUUUGUAUGAAAUAUAUGGUAUCAAUCAAUAAAUUCUUAUUUUGUUAUAUAUACUAAUAGUAUCUUAUAGUAAACUAAGAAAUAUUAACGACCUUCUAGUGUGUUUUUGAGUUGUAAAAUAUUUUUUUAAAAAAAAUUGAGUUGUAAAGUCUAGUUAACUAUUUUGUGUUCCAUUACAGGUAUUAUGAAAGGUUUUUUAAGUUUUUAGAUGUUUUUUGACCCAUUUGUCAAUAAGUGAAACUAUUAGCACCACUUUAAACUCCUCAUAAAACCUUUCUUCUAAAAAUACACCAUUAAAAACAUAUGUAAAUCACAGUACUUUUAACAACACCUAUGUUAAUUCCACAAAUAACCUUAUAUAUUCUUUUUUCUUAAAAAAUCAUAUGAAAACAAAAAUCUUUUAUUACAAAACCUUUUCACCAAUUUAAUCUGAAGCCCUUGUUCGGUCCAUGAGAAUCAACUUUUCAAUUUAGAAUUGUUUGAGCUUCUUUUUCCAACUUUUUAUUCUUAUUCUUAUAUAUAAAUGAGAUUCUUAUAAUAUAUAAUUCAUUUUAUUACUUUAUUUUAUCAUUCCAUGGGAAAAGAUAUCAAAAUAUUACUAUGAAGUAAGUUAAACUAGUAGAAAGUAGAAUCUAAAAACUAGAUAAGAAAUAUUCUAGGCCAUCCUCUUGAGUGGAUCUAUUUUAAUUCCACGAACGUCCUUGUACACUUCUUUCUCACGAACUUUACUAUGAGAGAGAGAAAAAAGAAUUAAAUAAAUAUUUCUUUUAUACUAAAAAAGAUUGUUUGAAGCUAAUCCAAUAUUAUUUUAUACUCUGAAUGUGACAAUUCAUAUACUUUUAUAUGAACACGUAAAUCGAUAAAAUCAAGGGAACAAGUAGCCAUAAAAAAAAUAAGUCUUUCAUAAUUUGAAAAUAAUGAACUAAAAUUUCAGUCCAACAGAAACCGCUAAUUUAAGAAUAAAAAUAAAAAUAAAAAACAUUUUCACUAAAACAACAAAAUUAUCUUUUAUUUAAUAAAAAUAAAACCCAUGUGGGGUUAGAGGAAGAGAGAUGAAUUGUCAAACGUGAUUUGAUUAAAGUUAAAAAUAUAAAUUUAAGAUAUAAGAAUUCUUUUGGAGGUGCCAAUAGCUCCACUCUAUUCUCUUUUUGUAGUUCUGCAAGUUUUAAACACAUGGUUCUAUGAAGGUCUUAGAGGGUGCCGAUAGCUUUCAUUAAUGUGCAUAUAUGUUAAACAAUAUCGAAUUAUUAGAUGGACCUUACUACCUUACAGAUUCUGUGAGGUACACCUCUCUAAUAAGAAUGGAGCGUGGCUCACUUAAGACCACCUUUAUUUUACUUAUUUUGGAUGGACGUACCUUACAAAAUCUAGGUACCGUCUUCUUAUUUGAUCCAACGUAAUCAAACAAUCUAAUCUAAUUGACUUGCCGCUUUAUGUUAAUAUAUAAUUAUGUUUUCUUUCAAUUGUUCUAAUAGUUGAGAGUUUUAUCUGGAAGAUAGCUCGAAAAUCAGCACUAAUUCCUACUCAGAAGGGAGGGGAAAUAAAUUGUGAUAGAAAAUAAAUUAUUUGAGUGCUCUGUGAGUCGAAGACCCACUCUCAGAUAAACAACUAUCUUUGUAAAGCAGAGCAGAAUUCAGAAAUGUCAUUCUUCUCAUUGGGUCAUUUCUUCAAACGUCCUCUGUACAAACAGCUCACCCGCCAUCAUAAUCUAUUUCCAUUCAUAAAUCAAAAACCCAGAACCCAAUCAACAGCACCCUCUUCCGUUCUCAUAAAAGUUUCAGCCCGUUCUUCUUAUCUCUCAGUUCGCAUUUGCUGUCAAAAACAUGCGUUAGUGAGUUUCACUUUUUUUACUUGUCUGUGUUUUUAAGCAUUUUGAAUUAGUAAUUAUUUGGCAUUAAAAUUGAGGUGCCUUAACUUGUGUUGUCAGGAUAUGUUUUCUGAAGCUCUUCUAUGUUUCGGUGCAAGUUCUACAAGCGUGGAUGAACAUGAUAAUGAUGCUGAUGAGAAUUCUGAUGAGGUUGAAACUUUAUAUUUUAAUUUCUUCUUUUUUCUUUUCUUUGAUUAUUGAUUCAUGUCUUGUAAAGGAUCUUGAGAGCAACAAUAAACAAGAAAUGAAACUCAUAUCCCAUUUGCAAAUUGGCUUCUAUUUGUGUUAAAAAUGUGCUUCUAAUUUCCAAUGUAAUGUUACCAGUUGGCCUUAGAUUUUUGUUGACUUUGUUGGUUCACUUGCUAGAAAGGUAGCAAGAGGAAAAAAUUAAUAAUAAUACUAAAUAAGCACAAAAUUUUCAAUGUUUGUUAUGGAAUUGAAAAUUGUCUUCUUUCUGUGUUAAAAGAGUGCCUCGAAAACGCCAUUAUAAUGUUACUAGUUGGUCUUAGAUUUUGUUGAAUGUAGAGUGGCUUCUGAAUAAAACCUACAGUUGUUUUAAAUAUUACUUACAGAUUGCUUUUAUGCAGAUCUAUAUUGAUUCCAUAUUUCCUGAAUGCGAAGACGUGGAUGAGUGCAUAUUAAAUGCUGCUAAUUCCAUAGGCUUGAAAGAGACACCGCGCUAUGAAGUUAAAAUGGGCGAGCAAUGCAACUGGAUAAAGAAAACUCAGGUUUGUUUGCUCUCCUUUUUCUCUCUAUCACAACGGUAUACUUGGAAUUAUUGUUAUGUCAAUUUGAUUCUCUUUUCUUACAUGUUGCAGGAGUCAUUUCCUCCCGUUGAGGUGACAAAAUGACUAUGGAUUGUGCCCGAGUGGAGUACACCACCAGUAUGAUUAUCUCACUCCCUUGGGAGGUUUUGUUGCAGUAAUUUCUCAUAUUUUAUAGGGUACCCUCUUCUUCAUUGCUUCUGUAGAAGUCAUAUAAGCUAGUUGCUUCCGAAUCUUUAAAUUUAUUCAAUGAGGAACCUUCGUUUGGAAAAUUGAUUUUCAUCUGAUCCAAGAAGGUUGCUUUGAAGGAGAGAGCUUACGAAAUGCAGCAAGCAAAAUCAUAACUACAAAGCAGUAGACUAAUUGUUAGCUGACUCUAAGCAAAGGCAACAUUCAUAAAAGAUGACGAAGAGUUUCUAAUAUUUACCAAUAUAACUUAUACCAAGUGCACAGAAUAGAGCCAUCUGAACAUUCAGGAGCAUAAGAACAACCAAUGUAGCUGCAAAGAUGAGAUGUAAUUACUACUGUGAAGACGAGGAAAGAAUUCCAUUAUUUAUCAACAGCUAGACUGUAGUAUAAUGGAAAGACUUGCUAAGGAAAGUUUAAAGCAACACUCAUCCAGAGAAGGCAAGAACAAGUAUAGAAGCAAAAGUGCACACAUUCAUAUAUAGGGGUAACGAGUAAUGUAUCAUAAAUCACUUGCUCUAGCUCAGUAAAAAAAAAAACAACGCAAAAUUGCAAAUUCAUAGUGUUGUUAUUUAUCAAUUGGAACCCAGAAAAAAAAAAUCUGUAACUUAAUUAUUCAUUUAAGCAGAUUGAAACCCUUACAAACACAGGUAAGCAAAUCAAAAUUAUCAUUAAAAAUCCAAUCAAGGCCACAUAAAUCUAAUCACAUCCAAAAGCAUCCCAAAAUCUCGUUCAAAAUUCAUAUACCCACAUACAAAAACCAUUCAAAAAUUUAAUGCUAAAUUUAAACCCAAAUCUGUUGCGUAAUUGCAUUGUACACGUAAUUACUUUAUCUUGAUAACGCCCCCACAAGCAUUCUGCAAAAGGGGAAAUCAAAUACUUAAAACUAUUAUAGAAACUUGAAAGAGCAAGUCUUAGAUUGACUUGAAUUUGAACCAAGAGGCAACACAAACAAACGCGUUCAAGCAAAUGCAAAACCAACGAAACCCCAAUCAUCAAGUGGUCCAUUGAUAAAUAAAAUCCAAUUACAUCGACUGCGCUGCCAAAAUUUUAUUAAAGAAAACGGAUCCCGUGCUCAGCUGAGCUUGUGCUGAGCACCGGAUCAAUGGUCAAUAAUUAUUUAAGACCCACGUAAGAUAAUUGCUGAGCAUUGAUUCGGUACUCAACACAAGCUCAGUUGAGCACUGUUUAUAAAAAAAAAUAAAAGCGGCAUCAGCAUGUGCUUUGAUUGAAUGCCUUGAGAACACGUAAGCAUCACCCAAAUUAUUAUUUACACAUGCUUGCGUGAUCCAAUUGCAUGCCAGAAAAUACAAAGAAUGAAUCUUGGUGAAAAUUUCCUAUCCACUAAAGGGUGCGUUUGCAAAUCUCAAAAUCGGUGGGGGAAGUGCGGCGGUGUGGCGGGCUAUAGCCAGACAGAGCCAGAGAAUCUGAAGCAAAACACCAAAAAUCUUGCCCUGGAAAUGACUCAGCAAGAAUACUUCGGUAUUAUAUGCUAAAUUUUUUUAAAGAAUUUUCUUUUAGUAUUGUUUUGAGAAAAUAAAUAAAGGUAGUCAAUUUAAUAUGCUUAAGAAUUUUUAGUAUUUUAAAGACUGGACAAAGCAUAACUUACUUUUUAAAUUUAAUAGAUAAGUGUCUAGAAUAAUAGCGUAUUUAAAGUAAUUAUUAGAGUGCAAAUAGUCAUAUCCAAUACUUCAACUUAUAAUGGUUGGUUGUUGUUUUCACUGAAUUUUCAGAUUUGAAUUGAAUCAAUUACUAGUUGUGUGGUUGGAGCUCAAGAGAGAUGAAGAUAAAAAAAAAAAAGGAGUUCUUCUUUUAUCCCUUUUAAGUGAAUAUAUUUAGGUUGGGUUAAUGUGUACCAUAGUCCAUAGGGCACUUUCAUCUUUUCUGUCAUAUGACACCUCUUUACUCAAAUGUCAAAUGGGCUUGCUCAUCAAGCUUUGGUAUUCAUCAUUUGGAUCCUUGAUCACGUGACGCUUGUUGACUAGGCAGCCUUGUUGCCUUAAUUUCCUAUUGUUUUCUUGUUCUCAGGCUGGAAGACAUUAUUUUUUCUUGUUAUCUCUUAGCUUAUUCCAUAUUUGUCCUUCUAAGUGAGCUAAUUUUACCAAAACUAUCAUUUUCCUUGAUUGGCUCAUGUAGGACAGUUGAUGUGUUAUUUUUUCCACCAAUCAUCUUCUUAUUUAUUAUUCUUGUACCACAUGUCAGCUUUCAACUAGUCCAUAAAUAUCCUUCCAAAUUUACCUCCAAACAAAUCUAAUAACCUCUUGAAAACGAAAAAUUAAAAAUUUAUUCAAUCAUUCAAUGUUAAGGAAAUUGGCCAAGUAAUGGAAUGCUAACAAACCAAAUUAAAUUUCUACACUUGCUCUUUUUCUUUGGCCUAUACCAAAUUUCAUCACUUAAUUUUCCUUUAAUUAAAUAAAACAAAUACAUUAUAACUGCUUACUAUUUACAUCUGAAUAGAGCAAUAAAGACUGGUUAUUAAAGACCGGUUAUUAAACGGAUAUGGAUGAAAAUGGUGUUAAAACAUGGCAUAUGGUAGCAAUAAAAAAGGCGCUUGCAGGAUAUAUUCAAGCAAAUUGGUUUGAGUAACCACAAACAAAAAGGCCUCGCAAGUGAUAAGUUCCUCCUUUGCCCACUCAAAUGCAUUACAUAAUGUCGCAGUACAUUUUAUUUAUGCAAAUACGUAUAUAUAUGCAUAUCUUGAUAACUAUUUUAACAUGUGAUCUAAUAUAGAACAUAAUUUAAUAGAGUAUACUCCCUGAAUUUCGCUCUGAAUUUUUUUAUAAUUGAUUUGUUAUAAAUUUGAACGAGGGAUUGCAAUUAUACCUUCUUGAAGUUUAUAGAUGUUUUCAUGCAUGCUCCACGAAAAAUAUUUGAUGUCGUGCUAAUGCUCACUGCAAAGCAUAUACCGUAGGCUAUGCUAUAGCUAUAUAAAAACUUAUACUUGCUUUCUCGAAUGCACACACUUGCACACAAAAUUUUACCAGACGUGGUUUCAAUUUAUUGAACCAUUAGAGGGACACAUCAGUAGUCACCAAAAUGCCACUCUAAAUGGCAAUUCUCGUAAUCAUUUUGCUGUCGCUCUUCAUUCCAGUCCCAAGUACACAGCCCAAACUUCAAUUUUCUCUGGGAAGGUAAUGAAGCGUGGCUCAGUCUCAGUAAUAUGUCUUCCAUAUUCCAUGGAAUGAGCCAAAGGAGUAAUACUUCUAUAGUUAGAAGCAACUAGCAAUCAUAUUGAAGGAAUUUUCUGUAUCAGAUAAAGAAAGAGCAGCAGAGAACAAAGCUGUUAAUCAAUCAACACAUGUACAGCAGUAUUAGUAUUUCUGCCUUAUUGUAGUGCCUAAUUGGGUAUUAGGAUUUCUCCUCAAGAACGUUUACUAAGACAUUCAGCCAAGUAUGAAGUUCAUCAAUAAUCAAUCUUUUCGGUAAAUAAACGAAACAUAUUGAGUGCCAAACUUGCCCAGCCUUUGAAACAGAAUUUCAGAGCAAGCAACAGAACAAAGUCAGAAAAUACAUUCAACUGAACCCAACACCAGAAAGCAUAACAAAUAUUAUUUAUUUUUUGUACACAAUUAACGAACCGCCCCUGAAGCACAAAUCAAUGAACUCUCAACUGAAAAUCCGAAACGAAAGUUCUUAUUUAUGAGUACACAGCGGAAACAAAGACACCAAAAAAAAGUGCACCACCGUAGGAUCAGGAUUUGUAUGUGUAGACAGCAAAAGUGAAGACGGAAAGGAUUCUGGUUGAAAUUGAAGCUCGGGCUGCAGUCAUGAUGUUUUCUGCUCUGAUUUCACCUACACAAGUCAUUAAAGAAAUUAUGAAAAAUAAGAAUUUUAAAUUACAUUUUUUUUCCUUAACUAUUAAAACAAAUGAACGCUGAUGUCUGCUAGGCUCAUGGUUGAAUGUGGAAGAGUACUUAAGUCUCCACUGCUGCUAAAGAGGGCUUGAUGAUUGGGGUGAGUAUCGGAAACUCUAAAGGGUACUUAAUGUUUAGACAAAUUGGAAGAAAACACUUUGUAUAACCAUUUUUAUACUAAAGAGAAGGGGAACAAAAAGUAUAUGCAAUUGGAUAAGUAAUUAAAAUUUGAAGAAAUUGGGUAAAACGAGAAACAUACAUCAAACUCAAUAGGGGCUAAUCAAAUUCCGUAAGGAUAAAGCUGAACGCCAUACUGCUCCUUAUCCUUGAAUUCCCGUAGCUUUUGUCUUAGCUCUGGCUGAGGCCACCAGCAAUCGAACUUGUUUAAGCUCUUUAUGCCCCAGAGCUGUUCAGGCAUCUUUUUCAAGUAAGCACAAGGGUUGAUAAUCAAGCAUUCUAGUUUUGGCAUGGCUCCAAUCCCCAUAGUCCACUCCCCUAGCCAUAGCAUUGAUUUCAGGUGCAAUACCUUGAGAUUUGGAAAACCAUCAGAGCCACAAGUCAGCUUCCUACCUGAAUACGAAUUUUGCUUCAGUUUGAGCACUUGAAGAAGCGGCAGCUUUUCUAGUGUCGGCAUGGGAUCAUCCAUUAGGUCAGUAUUAGAAAAACUCAAGUGGGUUAGACUAUGAGGAAAUAGGUAUUCAGCAAGGACGAUUUUGGAGAGCCGUGGCAUCUUGCUUUCAUUCGCCAGCUUCAAUGACUUGAGAAAGCUCAAUCUGCAGAGACUUUUGGAAAACAAAGAUUGAUUAUAACUUAAAUCUCCCCGUAUUCGGAGAUUUUGAAGAUUAGGUAGCCUGCCCAAUAUAUCUUCAGUACAGCAGCAAGGAUGCAAGGCCGAAAUGAAAUUUAGAUUUUCCAGAGAGCCACAAUAUUUUCCUGGAUGCGCAGGAAGUGUGAUUGACCCAAAAUUUAGAUGCCUGAGUUUGUUCAUCUUCCAAAAUUCAUCUGCUGUAUGAUCUAUGUAGCUAAAGGGCAUGUCUAGGGUGUAGAGGUUUAGAAGAUUGCUUAAUAAUGAGGAAGGCAGGCUUUUGAGGGAAGGGAUAUUCAACUUCAAAUAUCUCAAAAGAAAUAAAUUUUCAAUUUCGGAUGGAUAUUGGUUGAGAACAAGAGAUCCCAAGUCCAAUAUUCUGAGAAGUUUGAACAUUCCACAAAUUUUCUCCCAAUCUAUGGGGUCAAAGUGGCAGCUUUCUGGAGAGCAGCACAAUAAAGAAUGCAGUUGCGAGUCAUAAUCAUCUAAGCAAUCAAAAUCACCCUCUCUUUCAACAGCGUUUAACCGUUUGGCUCUUUUUCCUGAUUCACUAUCGAUGGAAGGGGAAAAGAUGAAUUCCACCUCAGAAGAAACUGUGAACAACACGGGACGCCAACGACCAGGAAUAGAGCAUGUGUUGAUAGUGCCUCCGGCUUUUCUCUUCUUUGCUUCAACAAAGCCUUCCUUGAUAAGUUGUUCCAAGUAACUCUCAGCAGUUGCCUCACUAUUGUCUGGAAUGAAACCUUCAGCUAUCCACAACUGAUAUAACUGCCUGGUGGAUAUCUCUAGGUGUACGGGAAACACAGAUAAGUAGAUAAAACAAGGUUUCAAGCAAAACGGUAACAUGCAACAUUUGAAGUACCGAAGCACAAGGGGUAUCUCCACUGCUUCCCCUAUAUUUUCUUCUAAUGAGAUGCUUCCAUGAUAUAAGAUGAGGAAAGGCCAUCCUUGGUAUGUAGCUCUCAAUGGUCCUCCAGUGGGCACUAAAUCAAGCCGAAUGUUCUCUCCGUCUUCGAGCUGAAAUGAGGUGACCAUCUUAAUUUCAGUGAGUGUUAUUAAUACUCUACUUCUAUUCUGAUUAUCCGGGAGUAUUUCUCGAAUAAUAGCCCAUACUUCAAUGUUCCACACAUCAUCAAUCACAAUCAAAUACUGCUUGGUCAUUAGAUAUUCAUGAAGAAUAAUUUUUUUCAUUUCAUAAUUUUUAUCCUUCAUUUCACUCAACCUAGAUGAAGGCAUCAGAAACUUAAUAAUGAUAUCUAAUAUUUGGUCAGCAUCAUAUUCAUUGCUGUAAGGUUCUGUAAUCCAAGCGUGACAAUCAAAAUAAUGCUUCACAUAACUGCUGUUGUAAGCCUCUCCGGCGAAAGCCGUCUUGUCCAACCCAAUGCUAUCAAGUAUGGCCACCACUGAAAGCUGAGGUGGUCCCUCAAUCAAUAGAUCUAACAACUCCUCCAUUCUAUCAUCUAGACCCACCGUGUCCCUACUUUUAGAAGAUGAAGAUAUACCUGCUUCAGCUUUAAAAGUUUUGAUGCGAUCAAUGAUUUCGGAAUCCAUGUGCUUAAGUUGUUGCAUUCGUUGCUUAAUAUCAGUGAUUCUGCUUUGGAGUCCUUGCAGAGCAUCAAAAAUGUCCUUGCUGCCGCUGCUUUGACUCUUCUGUUGAGUGAUGCUGUUGAUGAAUGUGUCAAUGACCCUCUCAGAUUCAUACGUAAAGCAAUUGAUUUCAUCCAUAACGGUCGCCAGAUCUGGGUUUUCAAUUUCAUCUUCUCCGAUCUUUUCCAACAUAAGCAAGGAAGUUUCAUCUUCAAAUUCACUCAGCCAAGAAGUAACGAUUUCAACCUCCGCAUGAAGGUUGUGAAUAGGUAGUUUUGCAGCAUCAGGCAACGUGACUUCUUCACCAGCUAACACCCUUCUCAGCCUCUCUGAAAAUAGUCUGAAGUUGAUGUCCAUAUCUCCUCCUCUCUCAGAUUCACCCCGAAAUCAGUCCUAUAAAAGGACAUCGUCAAGAAGUUGAAUAUGCUUUAAAGCUCGCAAUUCAAACAUUAGUGCUGGCUCCCAUACCUCCCUUCUCUUAGCUAGUUCUCCAGUCAAGAAGUUGAAUCAAGAUCGUUGACUCUCAAAUUAGAACAGAUCAAGGCAGAAUCUUACAAUAAUCUCGUCUCCCAUAUGAUGAAAAAAGAAUAAAGCAGAGAAAAAUAAACAGGACAUCGUCAAGUAUCGAUCAAGACCAAUUUGUUUUAUACAUCCACUUUUAAGAAAGGAAGGGUAAAAACAAUUCCACUGGGACUAUAAAAGCUUGUCUGAAAAGAAAAGAACGGAGCAAGCACAAGAGCGUUAUCAAUUAUUUAAUAAUUAAGCUGUGGAAAAAUGCCAAAUCAUGUCUGGUGUUAAAUGUUAAAUUUAUUGCGAGACUUGCAUGUAUCUUGCAUGUAUCUAUAUCACAAAUAAAAUUUGUAUCCCAGGGUUAUAAAUGUAAAAUUACUCAAAUAAAUAUGCAUUCUUAAUCAUGUGUGAUGCUGUCUUAUUUCUUCAACCAGAUUUAGAGAAAGUACUAAAUCGUUUGUAAAAUUUUAUAGUUAAUAUAUGUUCAAUUUUCUUUUUAGCAUUCUUUUUUAAGAGAUGAAAAAUGAUAAAGAGUUCUAACAACGGGUGACAAAAAUAAUAGUAAAUUGUGUACUGUUACAAUGUUAAUUGAAAAAUAGUUAUAAUUUUUUAUUUAACAUUAUAAAUAAAAUCUAUAGUUGUUUUCUCACUACUGUAUCAUUUUUUGAUUCAAAUAUCAGUAUUAUAUGAACUCUUUGAAAGGAUUACAUCAUAUGACACUAUUUAUAAUUAUUUUCAUUUGAGCCCUUAGUGUUAAAAAUAUAACAAUCCAUCAAUGAAAUCAAUGAUAAUGGAAUUCUAAGUAGGAAUGGCAGAAAAAUCAAGUCUAGCUAGAGCUAGUUUUCUAAGUAUUCUGGCUGGUCUUGGGCUCCGGCUAAAAAGUCCGAACCCAGCUCGAAAGCCAAAAAAAUACUGAAAAUUUUAAAAAUUGUAUAAUUCCAAGCCUUAAAGACUUCUCCAAAUGUAUGGUACAACAUUGCAUAAUAGGACCAAUCACAUGGAGAUGAUUUGUACAUUAUUGUACACAAUUUUAGUAUGCAUAUCAGAAGAGAGGCAGCAAUCUUAGUUGAUACUUUUAUUUGACAUAUGAUGUAAGAAACGGAACAAAGAUUGUAACGUUACAAAUUUUGCUAUUCAGCAUCCAAAAUAUCACUAGAACUUGCAAUACAAGCUUUAAUCUCUUCAACAACCCGUCGAAUUGCGGCCAGGAACACAAACGCAGAGAUGGGUAUCAAGAUCGCAUUCGAAAUCGACUGACAGGGAUUGUCACAGUUGGCAUUGCUUUUACAAGUGACUGCUUUUGAUUCCGGUUGAGCAUCAACUGCCGGCAUGGAAAUAUCAAACAACACACCUGCAUAUAUAAAUGGCAAUCAAUUAAUUAGCCUAAUGCUAAUAACACGCCUGCAUAUAUAAAUGCCAGCCAAUUAGUUGUCAUAUUAUAGUUAAUUAUGCAUGCAUUAAAAAGAUGAGGAAAAUAAGAUUAAGGAACAAACAUGAGGCUACCAAGAGAGUGAUGAAAAAUGCGGAUUUAAGUUUAAGUUACAUAAUGUUUAUGUAAGCAAAAGUGCAAAACUGAGAGUCUGAGGAUAAUGAUAUUAUUAAAUUUAAUAUGGGUUUGGUUUGUAUAGAUUCAUGAGUUUCUCUAGACAUUAUAUAGGGGGGGGGGGGGGGGGGGGGGGGGAAUUUAAUCCACUUGACAACUAAAAAAUUCAGAAAUCAAACCUCGAUUUGACAAAUUAGAAAUUUAAAAAUUAAAUUUUUUUCCAUAUGCAGGCUCUCGUUUUUCUCUCUAUCACAACGGUAUAAUUGGAAUUAUUGUUAUGACAAUUUGAUUCUCUUUUCUUACAUGUUGCAGGAGUCAUGUCCUCCCGUUGAGGUGACAAAAUGACUAUGGAUUGUGCCCGAGUGGAGUACACCACCAGUAUGAUUAUCUCACUCCCUUUCGAGGUUUUGUUGCAGUAAUUUCUCAUCUUUUAUAGGGUACCCUGCUCUUCAUUGCUUCUGUAAAAGUCUUAUGAGCUAAUUGCUUCCGAAUCUUUAAAUUUCUUCAAUGAGGAACCUUUGUUUGGAAAAUCGAUUUUCAUCUGAUCCGAGAAGGUUGCUUUGAAGCAGAGAGCUUAUGAAAUGCAGCAUGCAAAAUCAUGACUACAAUGCAGUAGACUAAUUGUUAGCUCACUCUAAGCAAAGGCAACGUUCAUAAAAGAUGAAGAAGAGUUUCUAAUAUUUACCAACAUAACUGAUAGCAAGUGCACAGAAUAGAGCUAUCUGAACAUUCAGAAGCAUAAGAACAACCAAUGUAGCUGCAAAGAUGAGAUGUAAUUACUACUGUGAAGUCGACGAAAGAAUUCCACUAUUUAUCAACAGCUAGACUGUAGUAUAAUGGAAAGACCUGCCAAGGAAAGUUUAAAGCAAAACUUAUCCAGAGAAGGCAAGAACAUAAGUAUAGAAGCAGAAGUGCACACAUUCAUAUUUAGGGGUAACGAGAAAUGUAUCAUAAAUCACUUGCUCUAGCACAGUACUAUUUCAUGCUAAUUUUCUUGCUCGUUCUAUGGUUAGGACCCUUUGAGCGGAAAGAAAUCAAAUCACAAUGCUUAUUCUAGCUAGAAACUCCUGAAGUCCAUGCUUGAACCCUGUGUCGAUUGGUCAUAGACUCCAUAUUCUCCUCUCCCAAAAGUAUGACAUUUUUUUCUUCCACUGAUUAAUGGAACUUAAAACUGUUUUGCCACAAUCUUAGUCAUACAAACCCUUUCUCUUUACAUUUCUUAAGGUCAUCAGACCCAAGCCAGAACAUGUUUACUUCCUAGGAGAAAUCUUAAAUAUCUUAAUCAAUACGGAACUGUGUAGUUCAGACAGCAUUCCCUUGGCCAACUAGACGUAAAGAUUUGCAAUGUCCUAGUAAGUCUAUGAGUGGAACUAACAGUGCCCUUCCAAUACGGAAAAACAAUCAUCAAAAACAAUUUUUUUACCCCAUCAACCACAUACAGUAUAAGACUGUAGCAGGUUAUCUCAAUAUCGGCUGCCAUUUUGAUUCAAAGAAGAAAUAUUUGAGAACUCACCACAUUGUGCAAUGCGAACCAGAACCUGCCUAAUCACAGGAUGCCAAUCCCAGUUCCAUUUGUCACUACAGAACUUGAAAAAAUCCCAAAGUGCCAAACUUGAUAUCAACCCAACAAGAGCAAGUGGCAUCUGGUAUCUAUAAGAUGGAGACAGAGACAAUGUCACUAGACAGAUGAUACACAGAAAAAAAAAAAAAUGUAAUACAACUAACACACACAAUACUAUGAUUAAAAAAAUAUCUCCAUCAGUUAAAAACUAAACAAUGGAAAGGCGAGACUCUAUGAACUAAUGCCCUGAACCAGCACAAAUACCAAUUCUCCUGGAGUAUUUUAAGUAUUCAUAUAGUUGUUUCAAAGCACAGGAAAAAAAACAAACAACGCAAAAUUGCAAACUCAUAGUGUUGUUAUUUAUCAAUUGGAACCCAGAAAAAAAUAGCUGUAAUUUAAUUAUUCAUUUAAGCAGAUUGAAACCCUUACAAACACAGGUAAGCAAAUCAAAAUUAUCAUUAAAAAUCCAAUCAAGGCCACAUAAAUCUAAUCACAUCCAAAAGCAUCCCAAAAUCUCGUUCAAUAUUCAUACAACCACAUACAAAAACCAUUCAAAAAUUUAAUUUUUUUUAACUCAAAAUAAUAACUCAGAAAAGGAAACAAAAUUCUUACAGAGAGCAAGCAAAGAAGAGGAUGAACAAAGAAGCAUAAUUCCUGGCAUAACGUUUAACAUUCUCAUGAACUCUCAACUUAAGGGUGUGUGGGGAAGAUGGAAACGAGAAAGACCCAAGAGCCCCAAUAAACUCACGGGUCCAAGACGGGGUGUUGGCUGAGAAAUCAUCAGUGGUGAGUUUAGCAAAAGGGUUGGCGGUAAGAAGAGAGAUAAAGGUGUAUAAAUAAUGUAAAAGGCUGUGAGUUAAGGUCGUGGCUGUGGCUGUUUCUUUGGUGGAGGCUGUUGUGACGGCGGUGGCCGACGUGGUGGUGGCGGUGUCGAGGAUUUCGAGGUAGCCGGACUCGCGUAGCCAUGACUCGAAUGCUGGGUCGGGUACGUUUAGAGAUAACGGGUUGGAUGCGAAUACCUUCCCCAUUACAAAAAGCUAUCCAAUUUCGGUUGAAUGAGGGUCACUAAAUUAUCAAAAUAUUAAUAACUAAUUUUUAACAAAAUUCAUAUGAUAUGAUAUGAUGAUAUAGGCCUUGGUUAGUGGUUUUCUAAACAAUUUAUUAUUAUUAUUAUUCUCUUAAUCACUCCAAGUUUAAAUUUGGAAGAUGUAGGGGAUAGAAAUAAAUUAUAUUAGGAUUUGUCGAUUUGUCAAUAAAAACUUCAGUAUUAUAUGCUUAAUUUUUUUAAAGAAUUUUCUUUGAGUAUUGUUUUGAGUAAAUAAUUGUAAUUAAUUUAACAUGCUUAAGGACUUUUAGUAUUUUAAAGACCAUACAAAGUAUAACUUAAUUUUUUAAGUUUAAUAGAUGAGUGUGUAGAACAAUAAAGUAUUUAAAGUAAUUAUUAGAGGAUAAAUAGGCAUAUCCAAUACUCUUUUUUUUUUUUGAAAACAAAGUAAACCUUUCAUAAAUCACAACACCUCAAAUACAACUUGAAUCUUGGCUGGAAUAGUUCCUAGCCACAUAGAAGAAGAAUUUCUUCCCAAAGCUAACUUAGCUAGGGAGUUGGCAUAAGCAUUACAUUGUCUUAGAAUGUGAUGAACAAUAACUUUUUGAAAACCUUUCAACUGAUUUCGGAUCUCCAGAAUUGUCCAAAAAAAUUCUGUUUUGCUGCCCUUGGUAUUGUUUACAAGUUGAACCACCUCUAAGCAAUCUGACUUAAUGAUCAAGGAGGUUAAAUCUGCUUCUUUUGCCAACUGAAGCCCCCAUUGCACAGUCUCUGCCUCAACCAAACUGACUGGUCCCUUAAGAUGAAUCUGAUUAAUACCGGCUGCAAUUAUCUUUCCAUUAGAAUCUCUAAUCACUGCUCCCACGCCUGCAAUCUGAUUCUUAGUAUUAAUGGCAACAUCCACAUUAAUUUUGAAAAUAUUUUCAGGGGGAGGGAACCACUUUUGUUGUUUCUCUCCUCUGGGGUGGGCAAUAUGAGAAGGCUUUUUCUUUCUUACUCUUUGAAAAGCUGAGCCUUUACAACAUGAGCAGGGAGGGGACUCCACUUUUGAUGCAUCAUAGAUAGUUUCUUCUCUGCAAAAACUUUGCCCAAAUUUCUUAAGUUUCUUAAAGGCAUCCAUCAGAUCUGCCUUUGCAACACUUUCCACAAAGUAGAAACUUUUCUUCUCAAAAUUCUGCAUCAUAAAAUACAAAACCAAGCAAAAUCAAAUGAACCCCAGAUUUGUAAAUCUGGGUAGACAAACAAUAAUAAACCACCACAAAUCUCUAGAUCUGAGUGGAAGAACAUACCACCACAAAUUUGAAAAUAUGAGUGGAAGAACAAAACCACCACAGAUAUGAGGAUCUGAGUGGAGAAAAUAAGUAAAGAAAAUAAAAAAGGAAUGAAAAAAGAAGGUUUCGCCGGAAAACGAACUCAUAGAGCUGAUUUUCCGACGAAAGAAGAAGGUGAAAUGUUAUUGGAUGUUCAGAGCCUUUUUUUUCUGGAAAGGCAUAUCCAAUACUUUAACUUAUGGUUGGUUGUUUUUUUCACAUAAUUUUCUGAUUUGAAUUGAAUCAAUUACAAGUUGUGACUCGAGCUCAAGAGAGUUGAAGAGAAAGAAAAAGAAAAAUGGAGUCCUUCUCUUGUCCCUUUUAAGUGAAUAUAUUUAGGUUGGGUACCGCAGGGUAGUUGAUGAGCAUAAUUUAUAUACAUAUUUUACCCUUAAUUAUAUAAUUACUAGCUAUUUUCAUUGGUCAUUUUUAAUUAAUUGAAUUAUUUUAUUGAAUAGGGAAUUAAUUGGGGAUUAUGGAUGAAAAGUGGAUAAAGAAUAACAAUUGGACAACAUUAAAAAUCAAGUCAAUUUGUGGAAGCAGUUAAGCAAAUGUGUAUGAAAUUCAAUCCGAAGAAGCCGAAGCCAAUAAAUUGAAUUCUCCAUGCUAGUGCAAACAAAGAAUAAAUUUAAAGCUAAAGUGGCCUGCACGUGAGAAGCAAUUGCAUGGCAUUAAAAAAAGAAUGAAAAAUCCAAGUGGGCUUCACGUGCAUGGGCUCAAAGUCAGUUGUGCUUUGCUUGUUUUAAAACCUUUUGAUUUGAGCAAAGUAAACACUGAUGCAGCCAUUUGCUUUGAAAAGAACAUUGUAGGGCUGGGGGCAGUAAUCAAAAAUGUUUUGGGGCAUGUUACAGCAGCUGCUAUCAAGGUUGCUAAGUUUCGUGGAGAUGUUUCUUAUGCAGAAGCAGAAGCCAUGGAAUGGGGUAUGUUAGUGGCGCGAGAGGCCAACAUGAAAGCUGUCAUUAUGGAAUCAGAUUCUCAAGGUGUGGUCAAUUUAGUUAACAACAAGCAGGGCAGCAGAUCAGAGAUCUAUUGGGUUGUGUCAGAAAUUCAGAAACUAGCGGAAAGCUUCGAACGUGUUAGCUUUAAAUACACGACUAGAUCUUGAAAUGUUAUUGCCCACUCUUUAGCUAAACUAGCUUUAGAGAAGUGCGAGAAUGUUGUGUGGAAAGGGUCAUACCCUUCACAAGUGAUGUAUCUCUUUUCCACUUUAGUUUAAUGGAAAUCUCUUUUCAAAAAAAAAAAAAAAAAAAAAAAAAACCUUUUAAUUUGAGGAUUUUGGAGGGUGUUACAAUAUAAAAGUCGUGUUAACAUAAAUAUGUUAAUAAUAUUGAUUUUGAUGCUAACAAAUUUUAAAUGAUUUUUUGAUAAAAGUAUUGGAGCUAUUUCUUAAUAAACGAGAGCCUUAGUAAUCAUUCCAUUCAUGCUUCAUAAAAGAUGGACUUUAAAAUUAGAAAAAGAUUCUCUGCAAAAACUAGUUUAAAAUGCAAUUCUGGUUAUAAACGGUUCACCGUUUAUUUAAACGGUUAACCGAUAACAGCCAGAGAGCAACGUAUUUCCUAAACCUCUAACCGUUUAUGAAAAACGGAAAACACAAAAGAUGGGAAGGUUACUGGAACUUAACGGUGAACCGUUUAUUUUAAACGGUUAACCGAUUAGAACCAGAGAGCAACAUAUUACCUAAGCUCUAACCGUUUAUGCUUAACAGAAAACACCCAAGAUGGGAAGGCUACUGGAACCUAACGGUGAACCGUUUAUUUUAAACGGUUAACCGAUAACGUCCAAAAUUGAAGGUUGUCCUCCUCUGGCACUGAUUAACGAAAACUGAUAAGGCUAAAUUUGUUUUGCAGGUUACUGGAGACAAACGGCGAACCGUUUAUAUCAAACGGUUAACCAAUAAUUUCCAGAGAAGCCACUUCACGCAAGUCCUUAACCGUUUAGCGUAAACGGAUAACAAAUACUCAUUUUGCAGGUCUCUGGAAGUUAACGGCGAAAGGGCAACCCUAAACGGCAAACCGUUUAUUUGAAAUCUGGCCCAACGGUAACUUUGACCAGCCUAAACGGUUAACCGUUUAUGGUUAACGGCGAACCGUUUUCUGUCCGACAGUUUGUAACGGCUAGAUUUUCGGCUCCAAAUAUAAAUAAGCUCAUUCAAAUUCAAAGAUGAUUGAUCACAACACGACCAUUUGAGCUAAUAUUCGAGAAUACAAUCUUCAUAGAGCUUAGAACAUAUUCUUGCUUCAUCUAUUCACAUAUUAAGCAUCAUUGUGUAAUCUUAUAUAUUGUGAGAGGCAAAACAAUUUAUAAUCUUUUAUUUUGAGUGAUUGUAAGUGUUGGGAUACACUUGGGUUAAGAGAUUGGGGAUAAUCUCUUGUUGUAAAGGUUCAUUGACACCUUGGAAGUCAAGUGUAAGCAUUUGAAGCCUUGGAGGCUUGCUUAGUGGAAUCCUCAAGCCCGGAAAGCUUGGAGGCGUGGACGUAGGCGAGGUUGGCCGAACCACGUAAAAAUCUCGGUGUUUGAAUCCCUCUUCCCUUAUCUUUUUAUAUUGUGAUUCUCUUAAUUGUUAUUGCUUUGAAUUUGAUUUAUAAUUGCAUUAAGAUUUUCUUUAAUAAAUUGAAUAAUUUUUUAGAAUCCCAAUUCACCCCCCCUCUUGGGUUGCAUACUUGUAUUUCAAUUGGUAUCAGAGCCUCGUUCUCUUGUUAAGACUUAAUCGUCUAGAGUAAAAGAUCCAUGGCAACCCUAAAUGACUCAACCUUUAGAGAAGGGCAAUCCACAACUAGACCACCAUUUUUCGAUGGUAAUGACUAUGCUUAUUGGAAAACUAGAAUGAGAAUUUAUUUGCAAGCCUUAGAUUAUGAAAUUUGGGAAGUUGUUUGUGAUGGUCCAUUCAUGCCUACGUUCAAAGAUGAAGUAGGAGAUGAUAUUCCUAAACCAUCGAGUCAAUGGAGUGAGUUAGAAAAGAGAAAGAUGUCUCUAAACUCCAAGGCUAUGAAUGCUUUGUUUUGUGCCCUUGAUAAGAAAGAAUUCCAUAGAGUAUCUAGUUGUGAAAGUGCACAAGAGAUAUGGAACAAACUUGAAGUUGUCUAUGAAGGGACAAAUCAAGUGAAAGAGUCUAAAAUCAGUAGAUACACUCGUCAAUAUGAGUUGUUCCAAAUGGAACAAAAUAAAAAUGUGUAUUCUAUGUAUACUAGAUUCACGGACAUAGUGAACACCCUAGGUGCCUUAGGGAAAACCUUCUCAAAUAGUGAGAAAGUUAAGAAAAUCAUUAGGUCUCUUCCAAAAGAAUGGAGACCCAAAAGAACCGCUAUUGAAGAGGCCAAAGAUUUAAAUACUUUACCUCUUGAUGAUUUAAUUGGUUCUCUUAUUUCGUAUGAAGAGGAUUUAGCUGCAGAAAGAGGACAUGAGGAGAAGAAGAAAAGCAUUGCUCUCAAAGCUUCAAAAUAUGAGAGUGAUGAGGAGAGUGAACCGGAUGAUGAAGAACUAGCCAUGCUAGCAAGGAGGUUCAGAAAAUUCUUCAAGAAAACCGGAGAGCGAAGAAAUUUCAGAAACUUCAAGAACUAUAGGGAGAAGAAGGAGGCAAUCACUUGCUAUGAAUGCAAGAAGCCUGGACAUAUAAGAUCGGAGUGCCCACUUAUCAACAAACUCAAGAAGAAAGCAAUGGUUGCAACUUAGGAUGAUAGUGAGGAAGAAUCAAAUGAUGAAGAAGGAUCGCAAGAAGUAUCAAACCUAGCACUCAUGGCAAUAGGAGGAGAUGAUGAUCUCAAUGAGGUAAGUGAUCCUACCUAUGAUGAAUUAUAUGAUGCUUGUCAAGAUUUGCAUAAUGAGUUAAUGAAAAUUGGUAAAAAGAAUGUAUGUCUUAAAAAGAAAAUGGCAAAACUUAAAAAUGAAAAUGAAUCUCUAAAUGCAAGAAUUGUAUGCCUAGAAGUAGGAAACAAAACAUUGCAUGAUGAAAUUGCAUUAUCAAAUGAGAAACCUAGCAUCUUACAUGAGCAUUUGAAAUCACACAUAGAUGAGUUGAAAAAUGAGAACGAAUUGCUCAAGAAAAAGAAUAAUGAAUUAAAUGAAAUUGUUUUGAAAUUUACAAAUGGGCAAAAGAUGUUGGAUAAUAUGCUUAACUCACAAAAAUGUGUUUUUGAUAAAGGAGGACUUGGAUAUAAGCCAAAUUUGAAGCAAAAGUAUUAUAAGAAUUAUUUUGUUAAAGCUACCUCCCCAAAUGAUCAUAAGAUUGUAUGUCAUUAUUGUAAUCAAAAUGGUCACAUGAAAUUUAAAUGUCCCGUGAAAAGGAAUGCAUAUUAUGGUGUCAAGUGCAUUUGGGUUCCAAAAGGAACCGUUGCUAACUCUCAAGGACCCAAAAAGCUUUGGGUACCUAAAACUUGAGACUUUUUCUUGUAGGGCUUGAAGAAGAAGAAGAAUAAAUGGUACUUGGACAACGGUUGUUCAAGGCACAUGACCGGAAACUAUGCAUGGUUCUCAAACUUUUCCAAAAUUGAAAAUGGUGGAGACGUAUCCUUUGGAGACAACUCAAAAGGAAAAAUUCUUGGAAUUGGAAAUGUUGGUAAAGUUUCUUCAACUCUAAUUGAGAAUGUAUGUUUGGUUGAAAACUUGAAACACAACUUAAUUAGCAUUAGUCAAUUAUGUGACAAAGGUUAUAAAGUUAUCUUUGAUAAAUUUAGUUGUGUUAUUGAGAACUCAUGUGAUGGCAAAACCUUAUUUGUUGGAAAUAGAUGUGGUAAUGUUUAUAUCAUUGACAUAAAAUGUGCAUCUACUCUUGAUAAAUGUUUUUCGGCAUUGCAUGAUGAUUGUUGGUUGUGGCAUAGAAGGUUAGGAGAUGCAAGUAUGGAUUUGAUUUCAAAAAUUUCGAAAGAUGAUUUAGUUAAAGGUCUUCCGAAAAUUGGUUUUCAAAAGGAUAAGAUUUGUGAAGCUUGUCAAUUUGGAAAACAAAUUAAAACUUCUUUCAAGAAUAAAAACCAUAUUUCUACUUCAAAACCACUUGAACUUCUUCACAUAGAUCUUUUUGGGUCAUCUAGAUAUGCAAGUCUAAAUGGCAAAUAUUAUGCUUUUGUGAUAGUGGAUGAUUAUUCUAGAUAUACAUGGGUAUUAUUCUUAGCCAAUAAGGAUGAUGCUCUUGAUGCAUUUAAAGUGCUUUGUAAGAAAUUACAAAAUGAAAAAGGGCAUGGUAUUGUAUGCAUUAGGAGUGAUCAUGGAGGAGAAUUUGAAAAUCAUGCAUUUGAGAGUUUUUGCAAUAAUCUAGGCAUUGAGCAUCAAUUUUCUUCACCUAGAACUCCACAACAAAAUGGAGUUGUUGAGAGAAAGAAUAGGUCUAUUCAAGAAAUGGCUAGGACCAUGUUAAAUGAAAAUGCAUUACCAAAAUAUUUUUGGGCCGAAGCCGUCAACACCGCUUGUUAUGUUUUAAAUCGGGUGUUGAUUAGACCUAAUCUUAAUAAAACUCCAUAUGAGCUUUGGAAAGAUAGAAAACCCAACAUUGGCUAUUUUAAAGUUUUUGGAUGCAAAUGUUUUGUUCUGAACACAAAAGACAAUCUUGGUAAAUUUGAUUCAAAAUUCGAUGUUGGUAUUUUUCUUGGUUAUUCAAAUUCAAGCAAAGCUUAUAGAGUUUAUAACACAAGAACUUUAGUUGUGGAAGAAUCUAUGCAUGUCACAUUUGAUGAGUCUAACCCCUCCUCUACGAAGAAAGUCGUUGUUGAUGAUGAUGUAGGAGAAGAAGAACAAGAAGAAGAAGCAUCAAAUGACAAUCAAGAGGAUGCACUACAUGGAAUUCAAGAGGAACAUCAUGAAGAAUCAAUGUGGAGCAAAAUGAAGGUACUUCUCAUACACUCCCCAAGGAGUGGAGGUAUGUCUCUUCUCACCCUAAAGAUGUAAUUUUAGGAGAUCCCUCAUGAGGUAUAACAACUAGAUCAUCACUUAGAAAUACUUGUGAGCAUAAUGCAUUCAUCUCUCAAAUUGAACCAAAAUCCUUUGAGGAUGCAGAAAAUGAUGAAUUUUGGAUUAUGGCAAUGCAAGAGGAGUUAAAUCAAUUUGAAAGAAACAAUGUGUGGGAACUAGUUCCUAAACCUGAACAUCAAUCUAUAAUAGGUACUAAAUGGGUGUUUAGAAAUAAGAUGGAUGAAUCCGGUGUGGUUGUAAGAAACAAAGCUAGAUUAGUGGCUCAAGGUUACAACCAAGAGGAAGGAAUUGAUUUUGAUGAAACCUUUGCACCUGUAGCAAGGUUAGAAUCCAUUAGGAUGUUGUUAGCAUAUGCAUGUCAUAAGGAUUUUAUUUUAUAUCAAAUGGAUGUCAAGAGUGCUUUCUUGAAUGGAUAUAUUUUGGAGGAAGUUUAUGUGAAACAACCUCCUGGUUUUGAAAAUGAAAAAUUUCCAAAUCAUGUGUAUAAGUUGCUCAAAGCCUUGUAUGGAUUAAAACAAGCACCUAGAGCAUGGUAUGAUAGACUUAAAAAUUUCUUGCUAGAAAAUGACUUCUCUAUGGGUAAAGCGGAUACUACUCUUUUUGUUAAGCAUAAGAACCAAGACAUACUUAUUGUUCAAAUUUAUGUUGAUGAUAUCAUUUUUGGUUCUACUAAUGAGUUGUUGUGUAAAGAAUUUUCAUUGUGUAUGAGCAAAGAAUUUGAGAUGAGUAUGAUGGGAGAGUUGAAAUACUUCCUUGGACUUCAAAUCAAACAAAGCGGGGAAGGAAUUUUCAUAAAUCAAGCCAAGUACGUAAAGGAUCUACUCAAACGAUUCGGCAUUGAUGAUUCAAAGACCAAGAAUACACCAAUGAGCACAACAACCAAGCUGGACAAAGAUGAAAAAGGUAAAGAAGUGGAUAUCAAAAUGUAUCGAGGUAUGAUCGGAUCCCUACUCUAUUUGACUGCAAGUAGACCCGAUAUCAUGUUUAGUGUAUGUUUGUGUGCAAGAUUUCAGUCUUGUCCCAAGGAAUCUCAUUUGCUCGCUGUUAAAAGAAUUUUCCGUUAUUUGAGUGGAACCAUAGAUAUUGGCCUUUGGUAUCCUAGGGGAACUCAUAUAGAUUUAACAUGUUUUUCGGAUGCGGAUUUUGCUAGUUAUAAAGUGGAUAGGAAGAGCACUAGUGGAACUUGCUAUAUUCUAAGACACUCUCUUGUUUCAUGGUUUAGCAAGAAACAAAAUUCUGUUGCACUUUCAACUACUGAGGCUGAAUAUAUAGCUGCCGGAAGUUGUUGUGCACAAGCACUUUGGAUGAAACAAACACUUAGAGAUUAUGGCAUUAAUCUUGAACAAAUUCCUAUUAAGUGUGAUAAUACUAGUGCUAUAAACCUUUCAAAGAAUCCCAUUCAACAUUCUCGAACCAAGCAUAUAGAAAUAAGACAUCAUUUCUUGAGAGAUCAUGUUCAAAAGGGAGAUAUUGCAUUAGAGUUUAUUUCCACGGAAAAACAACUUGCCGAUAUUUUCACAAAACCGCUUUGCGAAGAACAAUUUUCAAAAAUUCGGCAUGAACUUGGGAUGAUGAAAUUUUUGCAUUAACAUCUCUAUUCAUGCUAUUGAGUGUACUGAAUUGAUUGAUUACUAUUUAUGAAAUGCUUGAGCUUGGUAGACAAAUGAUGAAUUUGCAUUAAUAACUCUUGAUUAUAUGAAUUGAUUGGUUGAAAACAUGUCCAUGAAUCAUGCAUUAAACUGGCUCAUAAAAUAUUUUCAGAUCAAUUAAAUGAUCUUGGAAUAUAUUAUUUGCUGGCCAAAAAUUAAAUCAAAUGUGCGAAAUUACAGAUUGAAUAAACGGUUAGCCGUUUCCUAUAAACGGAUCACCGUUUAAUUCCAGAAACGAGAUUAUGUGUCUGCCCGUUUACCCUUUCACCGUUUUCCACAAUCGGUGAACCGUUUUUCAACAGAGAGUCCUCUAACAGUUACUCCUUAGUCGUUAAGCGCUUAGGCUUUCACCGUUUCCCUUUCUUCAGCCUCUGGACGUUACCCUUUCACCGUUUCAAUAAACGGUUAACCGUUUUCGCGAAGUAUAUAAACUGUUUAAAGGUUUUCUUCUCCUUCUCCAGUUACCCUCUCACCGUUUCCUCCAUUGUUGCGCAGCCGAAGGUCUCUUUGUCCUCAAAUCCUCAUUUUUCUUGAUUUCCGUGCCAAAUCAAAUCCUCAAAAUCAUUUCUUAUCACCUUUAGAACAUUUCUACCGAUUCAAAACUUCAAAUCGAACCCAAAAUUCAAAAAUCCCAAAUCUAAACCCUAACUGUCGCGAGUCGGGUUUCUCUGUCCUUAAUCUGAUUUCCACCUUUCUUCAACCAAAUUAAACAUCCUACUCACAUCUUCUACUCCUCAUUACGUGUUUCCAUGGCUGAACCUCCUCGGAGAAAUCUCAGACGUAAAUCUGUGCCUCCAAGGAAUCCCAUACCACCUCGGGACGUCUCGGAAUUUGCAAGGAUUCACUUCCCCACUCCUUCCUUGGCCAAGCGAUUCGAAGAACGCUUCAAUGGUCGAAAGGUACUUGACUCCUUCUUUGUUGACAUUGAUGAUUUCCAUAAUUUGGUUGUAUGUGGUAGAAGCAUUUGGGAUAUGCUUCGGCCUUGGGAGUCUGGCAUUGAUUUUGAUGACCGAGUUUAUCCAAACUUAGUGCGAGUCUUUUAUUCGAACAUGGAAAUCUCCAAUACUCGUCCAAAUAGGAUAGUCACUCAAGUCGGCCGUGUACCCAUAGAAUUUGAUGAUGCGGACUUAGCUGACUUUCUAGGUAUCUCUUGUGAGGGGAUUGACAUCUACACUUCUAGGAAAACCCUCUCCUUUGAUACUUUUUCUCAUACUCACGGCGUCCGUAAUAUAUGUCGUCGUCGAGACUUAUCGGAUGAUAUCUGUCAGCUUCCAUUUCGGUCUCAACUUUUACCGCUCCAAGUUCGUAUUCUUCACUCUAUUCUACAGCACAUAGUGACUCAUAGGAAGGGUCACUCGGAUGAGGUUACGAGGUUAGACGUCGCCUUAUUGGAUAGCCUUAUUACAGACCGUCCCAUUAACCUCGGGUAUAUUAUUGUGCGACAUAUGCUGAGUACUCCAGUGGUCAACCACCGCUUGUUUCCCUACGGCAGUAUCAUCACUAAAAUACUGCGACGCUUUGAGGUGCCACUUCUUGAUACUGGACAUAUGGAGACUCGACGGAUUGGUUCCGAGGCAGUAACCAGUAUCGGAUUCUCUAGAAAGAAUGGAGUGUGGAUAAAGACAAGCAACUCCAAAAACCGGGAUACCUUGAUUGCUCCAGAGGACGAUCGGAUGCUCAAUGAUGUCUAUCGUCCCGACCAGCUUCCUGACUUUAGACUAGGCGCUCAUCCUCAUCCUCCGCGUCGCCGUUUUGUUCCUCAGCCUCCAGCUGACUCAGACUCUGAGGAGCGUGCGAUGGAUGCUGAUAUUCCCUCCUCUUCCGAGCCGCCUACUGCUCCUGAGCCUUCUGCUGUUCCCGAGCAGCCAUCUGCCUCUAUGCCGCCUCCAGCUCCAGUUCAGCCCCCUGCUUCAGACGCAGUGCAGCAGCUGAUCUCUGAUGUUCAGCGGAUUUCGGAGCGCCAGCAGCUAAUUCUUGAUCGGUUGGACACUCUUUCCCGUGACCACCAGCAGCUGCGUUCUGACUUUCAGAUAUUCCAGCGGCAGAGCCUUGAUUAGCAGAUGGAGCUUAUCGCUGGACAGCGCACUAUUCUCGGCUAUUUCGGCUAUGAUCCAAGGAGCACAUCUUCUCCGCCUCCGUAGUUUCUGAGCUUUGUCUUCGCAUAUACAUUUUACAUUCUGGUUGCUAGCAUUUUUAUUAUUAUUUUGAUUUUGAUGCAUAUGUGUGUGAUGUUCUUGAUGAUUAGCUUAUUGAUGCUUUGUGAUUGCCUAAUUGGUUGGAUAUUGUAGAAAUGGUUUAUUUGUGGAUAUUGGAGUGUUGGUAUAUUUGUGGAUAUUGAAGUGUUAUUUUAUCUUGUUCAUGGAGUUGUUGGCUUGUUGAACGCAGAAGUUAAUGUUGAUCUAAUUUUGGAAGUGUUUUAUCUCAUUUUGUAUUUAUGGUUUUACUCAUUUUUAAGGGGAAACUCUGCCAAAAUUUUUUUUUUUUUGCUUGCCAAAACCGGGCACUUUCUUUCAUGAAUUUGCGUAUUUCUUAUUUCCUCUUUCCUUUUGAUGAUGAAGGGGGAGAUAAUUAAAGUUUUUAAGAUGGUUUUUAAGUUUUUAAGAUUUUUUUUUAAAUUUUAAAUGGGGAGAUAUUUGUUUUUAAGAUGGAUUUAAAAUGGGGCAAUUUAUUCACAUUUCUCAAUUUGGCCAUACAUUUAGGGGGAGCACAUAUUAAGGGGGAGCUAAACAUUGAUUAGAAUUUGUCAUCAUCAAAAAGGGGGAGAUUGUUAACAUAAAUAUGUUAAUAAUAUUGAUUUUGAUGCUAACAAAUUUUAAAUGAUUUUUUGAUAAAAGUAUUGGAGCUAUUUCUUAAUAAACGAGAGCCUUAGUAAUCAUUCCAUUCAUGCUUCAUAAAAGAUGGACUUUAAAAUUAGAAAAAGAUUCUCUGCAAAAACUAGUUUAAAAUGCAAUUCUGGUUAUAAACGGUUCACCGUUUAUUUAAACGGUUAACCGAUAACAGCCAGAGAGCAACGUAUUUCCUAAACCUCUAACCGUUUAUGAAAAACGGAAAACACAAAAGAUGGGAAGGUUACUGGAACUUAACGGUGAACCGUUUAUUUUAAACGGUUAACCGAUUAGAACCAGAGAGCAACAUAUUACCUAAGCUCUAACCGUUUAUGCUUAACAGAAAACACCCAAGAUGGGAAGGCUACUGGAACCUAACGGUGAACCGUUUAUUUUAAACGGUUAACCGAUAACGUCCAAAAUUGAAGGUUGUCCUCCUCUGGCACUGAUUAACGAAAACUGAUAAGGCUAAAUUUGUUUUGCAGGUUACUGGAGACAAACGGCGAACCGUUUAUAUCAAACGGUUAACCAAUAAUUUCCAGAGAAGCCACUUCACGCAAGUCCUUAACCGUUUAGCGUAAACGGAUAACAAAUACUCAUUUUGCAGGUCUCUGGAAGUUAACGGCGAAAGGGCAACCCUAAACGGCAAACCGUUUAUUUGAAAUCUGGCCCAACGGUAACUUUGACCAGCCUAAACGGUUAACCGUUUAUGGUUAACGGCGAACCGUUUUCUGUCCGACAGUUUGUAACGGCUAGAUUUUCGGCUCCAAAUAUAAAUAAGCUCAUUCAAAUUCAAAGAUGAUUGAUCACAACACGACCAUUUGAGCUAAUAUUCGAGAAUACAAUCUUCAUAGAGCUUAGAACAUAUUCUUGCUUCAUCUAUUCACAUAUUAAGCAUCAUUGUGUAAUCUUAUAUAUUGUGAGAGGCAAAACAAUUUAUAAUCUUUUAUUUUGAGUGAUUGUAAGUGUUGGGAUACACUUGGGUUAAGAGAUUGGGGAUAAUCUCUUGUUGUAAAGGUUCAUUGACAUCUUGGAAGUCAAGUGUAAGCAUUUGAAGCCUUGGAGGCUUGCUUAGUGGAAUCCUCAGGCCUGGAAAGCUUGGAGGCGUGGACGUAGGCGAGGUUGGCCGAACCACGUAAAAAUCUCGGUGUUUGAAUCCCUCUUCCCUUAUCUUUUUAUAUUGUGAUUCUCUUAAUUGUUAUUGCUUUGAAUUUGAUUUAUAAUUGCAUUAAGAUUUUCUUUAAUAAAUUGAAUAAUUUUUUAGAAUCCCAAUUCACCCCCCCUCUUGGGUUGCAUACUUGUAUUUCAAGUCGAACUUUGGCUUUUGCAAGAAGGAGGAGCCGCCAGAGGAGGGAAACGCGAGACAAAGAGAAGAAAAUCUGAAGUGGUUCGACUUCCAUGGCUGGUUUUAUCUCUUUUGUUACUCUUAAUUCAAGUAUGUCUAGCUAAUUUUCUUAUACUGAGGUUAAGGAUGAAACUCUAUUCAAUGAAAUAAUUAUCUUUUUAUUUAUUUAAUUCCCUAUAUAUGUUCUUUAAUGAUUAUGAUUUUUAUUUUACAUAAUUAAUUGGAUGUUAUUAAAAUCUUUUCAUCAAUUUUGUCAUGCAUUAUUGAUUGUUGGGAUUAAUAUUCGAUUAAAUCUAUGCUUGGAUUUAUAAAGUUUAUACAUGAUUAUCUUUGAUUAUAUGUCUUUCAUUAAAUUGUUUACAUGGAGUGCUUAGGAAACUUUGACUAUUUGUUAUUCAAUAUGUUCACAUGGGAUACUUAGAUGUCAUACUAUUAAGCGGAAAAAGAACCUAUAUUAGAUUUAAUUAUUUGGGCUUAAUUGUUAUAUCCAUGAGAUGACAUAUAUUGAUUUCGAGUUAUCACUCUAAAAUUGGGGAUUAAUGAAUAUUUAGAUAAUUACUAGUUGAAUAGUGGUGGAUUCUGAAACCUUGGUAAUUUCUAUCCUAUUGAAUUCUCCUUUUCUUUAAUUGUUUUCUUAGUUUAAUUAGUUUAAUUUCUCUUAAAACUCAAUUUGCUCAACUAGGCUAGAAUUAAUAUUAAUUUUAUAUUUAAAUUAGACUUUUCAAUUUAUAACAAUCCAUGUGGGAUCGACCUCGUUAUCACUAUUUUAUUUCUAGAUUCGUGCGCUUGCGAGUUUAUUAAAAUUUUCACAACAUUAGUUUAAUCUUUUCUACUGCAUGGCACCUCUUUACUCAAAUAUCAAAUGAGCUUGCUCUUCACGUGACGCUAAAUUUACCAAACUUUAUUUUUUUCCUUAAUUGGCUCGUGUAGGACAGUCGAGGUGUCAUUUUUUUUUUUUUCACCGUUCAACUUCUUAUUUAUUAUUCUUAUACCGCAUGUCAGCUUUCAAUUAGUCCAAAAAUAUCCUUCAAAUUUUACCUCCAAACAAAUCUAAUAACCUCUUGAAAACAAAAAAUUAAAAAUUUAUUCAAUCAUUCAAUGUUAAGGAAAUUGGCCAAGUAAUGGAAUGCUAACAAACCGAAUUAAAUUUCCACAUUUAUUUUUUUUUCUCAUGCAUGCUCUACUAAAAAUAUUUGAUGUCGUGCUAAUGCUCACUGCAAAGUAUAUAUUAGAUGCUCGCGCAUAUACCGUAGGCUAUAGCUAUACAAAAACUUAUACUUGCGUUCUCGAAUGCACACACUUGCACGCAAAAUUCUAUUAUUGAGAGUCGCUGCUUUCUAUAACACGGCCUUUUUCUAGCCUUUCAUUAGACGUGGUUUCAAUUUAUUGAACCAUUAGAGGGACACAUCAGUAGUCACAAAAAUGCCCCUCUGUAGAACCUGAAGGGAACUUCAGUAGCUCAAACACCUUCAGCCUCUGCCCAAGAUUCAAGAUCAGAUUCCUAGAUGCUUGACUAUAGAUGACUUGAAAAAUGUUUAACCAAGAACUUCAAGUGAACAGAACAAUCAAUGGUUUAAGAAUCAAAGAAUCGAAAAAAAACUAAAGAAUAAAGAACAGAGGAGAUUUAACGUGGUUCAGCUAAAACACUUAGCUUACAUCCACGGAGGAACAAGACUUCAGGCUUUUAUUGAAUGAACUCAAGAUUACAGAGAAUUACAGAUUGUAUCUCAUGGAAAUUACUACCUAUUAAACCCAGGAGUAACCCCCUUUUUAUACUCAUAAAUUGUAGCCAGCUAUCUGCACCAGAAUCAGCUCCUUUUCAGUUGCUGAUAACUUCCUGGAAACUAAUCCAGAUGCUCACGUGCAAGCCAUGCUUCAUUAACGACUUUAACGGCUUCUUUCAUUCGAAUCCAUUCACGUGAGUCUCAGGUGUUUCACUUAAGUCAAACGACAUUCCAAGACAUCGUUUCACUUAGCUUUGGUUUACACACCGAAACGCACUCUGUCAAGUCGUUUUGAAUGCCACUGAAUUGCUUUCAAUGGUUACUUUACACCCUCUAAAUGGCAAUUCUUUUAAUCAUUUUGCUGCCGCUCUUCCUUCCAGUCCCAAGUACACAGCCCAAACUUCAAUUUUCUCUGGGAAUAAUGAAUCAUGGCUCAGUCUCAAUAUGUCUUCCAUAUUCCAUGGAACGAGCCAAAGGAGGAGUACUUCUAUAGUUAGUAGCAACUAGCAAUCAUAUUGAUUCUUGAAGGAAUUUUCUGCAUCAGAUAAAGAAAGAGCAGCAGAGAACAAAGCUGUUAAUCAAUCAACACAUGUAAAGCAGUAUUAGUAUUUCUGCCUUAUUGUAGUGCCUAAGUGGGUAUUAGGAUUUCUCCACAAGAACGUUUACUAAGAUAUUCAGCCAAGUGUGAAGUUCAUCAAUAAUCAAUCUUUUCUGGAAAUAAACGAAACAUAUUGAGUGCCAGACUUGUCCAGCCUCUGAAACAGGAUUUCAGAGCAAGCAACAGAACAAAGACAGAAAAUACAUUCAACUGAACCCAACACCAGAAAGCAUCACAAAUAUUAUUUAUUUUUUGUACACAAUUAACGAACCGCCGUUGAAGCACAAAUCAAUGAACUCUCAACUGAAAAUCCGAAACGAAAUUUCUUAUUUAUGAAUAGACAGCGGAAACAAAGAAACCAAAAAAAAUGUCCACCGCCGUAGGAUCAGGAUUUAUUUGUGUAGACAGUAGAAGUGAAGACGGAAAGGAUUCUGGUAGAAAUUGAAGUUCGGGCUGCAGUUAUGAUGUUUUCUUCUCUGAUUUCACCUACACAAGUCAUUGAAGAAAUUGUGAAAAAUAAGAAUUUUAAAUUACAUUUUUUUCCUUAACUAUUAAAACAAAUGAACGCCGAUGUCUGCUAGGCUCAUGGUUGAAUGUGGUCUCCAUUGCUGCUAAAGAGGGCUUGAUGAUUGGGGUGAGUAUCGGAAACACUUUGUAUAACCAUUUUUGUAUUGAAGACAAGGGGAAAAAAAGUAUAUGAAAUUGGAUAAAUAAUUAAAAUUUGAAGAAAUUGGGUAAAACGAGAAACAUACAUCAAAUUCAAUAGGGGCUAAUCAAAUUCCGUAAGGAUAUAGUUGAAUGCCGCACUGUUCCUUGUCCUCAAAUUCCCGUAGCUUUUGUCUCAGCUCUGGCUGAGGCCACCAGCAAUCGAACUUGUUUAAGCUCUUUAUGCACCAGAGCUGUUCAGGCAUCUUUUUCAAGUAAGCACAAGGGUUGAUAAUCAAGCAUUCUAGUUUUGGCAUGGCUCCAAUCCCCAUAGUCCACUCCCCUAGCCAUAGCAUUGAUUUCAGGUGCAAUACCUUGAGAUUUGGAAAACCAUAAGAGCCACAAGUCAGCUUUCUACCUUGUGAAGAAAGCUCAUUGUGCUGAACUGAGAAAAGAGAGGAAGUCAGAAGCUAAGGUUCAUCAGCAAUGCCACGUCAACAAUGCUGAGUCAGCUGAUUCUGUUAAGCAACAAUGAGAGCUCACGUGUGUUGCAGUUAGUUAGUAUUAGCUAACCUCUUACUGAUUAGUUAGUUAAAUUUCAGAGUAAUAUAGAUUAGUUGAUAUAGCUUUUACUAACAAAAUAUGUAACUAUAUAAAGUCUGGAGUUUUACUCAUUUGUUAUUAAUAAUAAACAAUCCAGUAUAUUCAUCAUAUUUCUCUCUGUUUUCUUAGUAACCAAACAACAUUUUCGAUUCAAUUUUUCAUGGUAUCAGAGCUAGAAAUAUGGCAAGCUCAAGCAAUUUAAACACAAAUCCAAACGCAACAAACAUGAAUCAAUCAAUACAAACUACCUUUUCAUUUAUUACGCCAAUCAAAUUGGAUAGAUCCAAUUAUAUGCUCUGGCGAAAUCAAGUAUUAGCUUCCAUAAGAGGAAACAGACUCGAAGGCUAUAUCAAUGGAGAAAAAGCAGCACCUACUCAGUUUCUUACUUCUGGAAGCUAUGCUGAAACAAUGGGAAGAGUUUCACAACAAGUUGAAAAUCCAGAAUACACGAUCUGGAGAUCACAGGAUCAAACAUUACUAAGCUGGCUAUUAAGCUCAAUUACUGAAGGUAUUCUCAGUCAUGUUCAUUCUUGUAAUACUGCAUAUGAUGUGUGGAAAACUUUGGAGAAAAAGUUUGGUGCAAAAUCAGAAGCUAGAGUUCUUCAACUCAAAUAUGAGAUGAGUGUUUUGAGAAAAGAUUCGCUAAAUAUAGAGGAUUAUUGUUUGAAAAUGAAACAAAUAGCUGACAAAUUAACCUGUGCUGGUAGUCCAGUUUCUGAUAAAGAUCUGUUACAACAGAUUCUUAAUGGUCUUGGACCAGGCUAUCUAGAUUUAGCAACUUUCAUUACUGCAAGUAAGCUGGAUUUUGAUGAUUCAUAUGCAUUGCUAUUGACACAUGAAACAAGAUUAGAACAGAGUCUAAAUGAAAAACAGAUGCUCAAUGCAAAUCUUGCUAAUGUUUCUCAUAAUAACAAUAGCUAUGGUAUGAUGAAUGCUUAUUAUGCUCAAACAAGAGGUAAUGCUCGAAGAGGUGGAUAUAAUGGAGGAUUUCAUGGUGGAAAUCAAUUUGGAAGGAAUAAUUUUCAUACUGGAAAGGGAAUGUUUAUCAAUUCUCAUCCAAGAGGAUUUCCUUCUGGAUCUGGAAAUUUUGGUAAUAAUCUUGGUAGAGGUCAAAUGAUUGGAAACAACAAUAAGCAGACACAAUUCAUGAGAGGACAAUAUAGUAUUAACUCUGGUUUGUCAAAUCCUGAUGGUAGUGAUGAACAAUCUGUUGUUUGUCAAAUCUGCUUUAAAACUAGACACACAGCAGCUGAAUGUUGGCAUAGGUUUGAAGAAAACUAUAUGCCUCAACACAUGAAAAGAGGAAGAAAUCAGAGAUCAGCCUAUAUGACAUACCUUACUGCACCUUCUGAAGACUCAUGGCCUGCUACAGCUGCUUAUUCAGGGAUACCUCACAUGUAUAAUCCACCAUGUUCUUCAUACAUAUCUGAUUCAAUGAGCUUGCCUGUGGCUGGAGCUGGAGCUGCUUAUGCUGCUAACUUUGAAGGACCAGCAGAUGAAGGAUGGUAUCUUGACAGUGGAGCUACACACCAUCUGACAAAUGAUAUGGCAAAUAUGCAUGUCAGCAGUGAGUUCAGAGGUAAUGACAAGCUUAUCAUUGCUGAUGGUAAAGGUCUGUCAAUCACACAUGUUGGUAAUGCCAAUUUUAAAGUUCAAAGCUCUAAAACACAAUCUGCUAGUACAUGCAUUGCACUUAAAGAUAUACUGCUUGUUCCAUCUAUUACAAAGAACCUAAUAAGUGUUUCUAAACUCACCACUGAUAAUGACUUAUCUGUUGAAUUUCUUGGUUCUGUUUGCUUUGUGAAGGAUAUACUGAAAGGGAAAAUUCUGCUACUGGGUAUUGCUGAGAAAGGUUUAUACAAAUUGCAGCUGAGUUCAUCACCACAACCUACAUAUACAUCUUUUCUAUCCCAGAGUUCAAUAAAUAAGCCUGUAUCUAUGCUAUCUCAGUGUCAUUUCAGCACUUCAGUCAAUAGUCAUUGUUCUGGAAAAUAUUCUCAGUCCAAUAAGAACACUUGUAGCACUGAUUCAUUCAAUAAAAUGUCUUUGUUUCACAAAAGAUUUGGUCAUCCUAAUACUCAAAGUCUAAUUCAUUUACUUAAGCUUGUGCAUCCUAAUUUGUGCUCUACAAAUAUUGUUAAUCAAGCAACAAAGCAUUUCUGUGAAGCAUGUCAGCUGGGAAAAUUUCACAGACUCCACUUUCCAAUUACAGAUAUAAAAUCCAAAUCAGCACUAGAACUUGUUCAUAUUGAUUUAUGGGGUCCCUCACCAGUAUGUUCUAGAGAUGGUUUUAGAUAUUACAUUAGCUUUGUGGAUGAUUAUACAAGAUACACCUGGAUUUAUCCUUUGAAACUGAAAUCAGAAGCUCUAGAAGUGUUCAAACUGUUUAAACUUCAAGUUGAAAAUCAAUUUCAAACAACUAUCAAAAUUCUCCAAUCUGACUGGGGGGGAGAAUACAGGCCAUUCACUGCCUUCCUAAAUGAAUGUGGCAUUCUCUUUAGACAUUCUUGCCCUUACACUCACCAUCAAAAUGGCCUUGUUGAGAGGAAACACAGACAGAUUGUAGAAUUAGGAUUGACACUUCUAGCUCAAGCCAAACUCCCUUUUCAAUUCUGGUGGGAUGCUUUUCAUGCCUCAGUUUAUCACAUUAAUAGACUCCCUACUUCUGCACUUAAGAUGACCACUCCAUAUGAAAAACUUUACAAACACAAAGCUGAUUAUACCAUGCUGAAAUGCUUUGGAUGUGCUUGUUAUCCAUAUCUGAGAGAUUACAAUAAGCAUAAGUUUGACUAUCACACAACCAAGUGCAUCUUUCUUGGUUACAGCCCAUUUCAUAAAGGUUAUAAGUGUUUUCAUCCCUCUGGUCAUAUAUAUAUAGCUAGGCAUGUUGUUUUUGAUGAAUACUCAUAUCCAUUUGCUUCAGAUCCUAGCUUUCAUCCUUCAGAUAAAUCUAAGUCUGAUACAUAUUGCACAAUUACUCCUAUUCAAGUUUUUCAGUUGUCAACAUUACCUGUCAUAUCAGAUCUUUCAGUCACCAGCAAUGAAUCUUUUUCUCAAGCAUACUCCAGUGGCAACAUUUUCCCUCCAGCAGUAGUCUCAACACAGGUAACAGAUCAGCAACCCUCAAACACAGAUAGAAAUAAUUCAUCUGCACCUACAGUGUUGCCUUCUGUACCUGAUACAAUAUUAGAUCAGCCCUCAGAUGAAAUUUCCCAAAACCAACACAAUAAUAAUACCUCUCAUCUCAAUCAGACAGUGAUAACCCCACCACCAUUAAACCAACAUCCUAUGAUCACUAGAGGGAAAGCAGGUAUCUUUAAACCAAAGGUAUAUACUGCAGUAUUGUUGCAUAAAGAACCAGAUACUGCUCAGGAGGCUAUAAAUGAUGAGAGAUGGUUUCAAGCAAUGAAGACUGAAUAUGAUGCACUGAUGUCAAAUGGUACCUGGACACUUGUGCCAAGAACAGAACAUCACAAACUUGUUGGUAACAAAUGGGUGUUUCGAGUAAAAUCAAACACUGAUGGAAGUGUUGCAAAAUAUAAGGCAAGGUUGGUUGCUAAAGGAUUUCAGCAGAUAGAAGGAGUUAACUACUUUGAGACUUUCAGUCCAGUGGUGAAAGCAGCAACAGUUAGAGUGGUCCUAAGCUUAGCAGUAAUGAAUCAAUGGCAAAUAAGACAGGUUGAUGUAAAUAAUGCAUUCCUAAAUGGAGAUCUAAUUGAGGAGGUAUAUAUGAGUCAACCAGAAGGGUUUAUUGAUUCCAAAAGGCCUGAUUUUGUGUGCAAACUUCACAAGGCACUCUAUGGUUUGAAACAAGCUCCACGAGCAUGGUUUGACAAGCUGAGAAACAGUCUUAUGCAAUGGGGAUUUGAGAACUCAAAGUCUGAUUCAUCUUUGUUCUUGAAGAAGAAUAAAAGAUCAAUUAUUUUAAUCCUGAUAUAUGUAGAUGAUAUAUUGAUUACAGGAUCAAAUGGUGAUGAGCUGGAAGAUUUUAUCAAGCUAUUUAGUUCUGCAUUUGCAUUAAAGGAUCUGGGAAAGCUAUCUUACUUCCUUGGAAUAGAAGUCUUGUAUGAUACUGAUAGUGUAUAUCUAUCACAAAGGAAGUAUAUUAGAGAUCUGCUGGCUAAAGUUGAUAUGCUCGAGUGUAAAGGAAUAGACACACCAAUGAGCAGCAGCAAAGAUUACAGAUUGCAGAAGAGUGUUGAAGGAGAAAUGGGUUACUACAUAGAAGAUCCAUCUCAUUACAGAAGCAUAGUAGGAGGCCUCCAGUAUUUAGUUUUGACAAGACCUGAGAUUGCCUACUCUGUUCAUAAGCUAAGUCAGUAUGUAGCUUCACCAACACUUCAACAUCUUAUGGCUUGUAAACGUGUGCUUAGAUAUCUUAAGGAAACACAAGACUAUGGGCUGAAAUUUGUUAAAGAAGGUGAGUUGAAGGUUACAGCAUUUACAGAUGCAGAUUGGGGAAGUGAUCUUGAUGACAGAAGAUCCACUGGUGCCUAUUGUGUGUAUCUAGGGAACAAUUUAAUCUCAUGGUCCUCAAAGAAGCAAUCUGUAGUUACAAAAUCUUCUGCAGAGAGUGAAUACAGAGCACUUGCAGCAGCUGUUUCAGAGAUAACAUGGUUAAAAUCCUUAUUUCUUGAGAUUGGUUUAUGUUGUGUGGAGAAACCAGUUAUAUGGUGUGACAAUGUGAGUGCCAAAGAACUUGCUUAUAAUCCAGUGUUUCACUCAAGAACAAAACACAUAGAAAUUGAUCUGCAUUUUAUCCGAGAUAAGGUUCUAGCUGGAGAUCUUAAGAUUCUCUAUGUUCCCAGUGCAGAGCAGAUAGCAGACAUAAUGACUAAGCCUUUAAACUCUACUCAGUUCACCUAUCUGAGAGACAAACUUAAUGUGCAUUUAUGCCCCUUGAGUUUGAGAGGGGCUGUGAAGAAAGCUCAUUGUGCUGAACUGAGAAAAGAGAGGAAGUUAGAAGCUAAGGUUCAUCAGCAAUGCCACGUCAACAAUGCUGAGUCAGCUGAUUCUGUUAAGCAACAAUGAGAGCUCACGUGUGUUGCAGUUAGUUAGUAUUAGCUAACCUCUUACUGAUUAGUUAGUUAAAUUUCAGAGUAAUAUAGAUUAGUUGAUAUAGCUUUUACUAACAAAAUAUGUAACUAUAUAAAGUCUGGAGUUUUACUCAUUUGUUAUUAAUAAUAAACAAUCCAGUAUAUUCAUCAUAUUUCUCUCUGUUUUCUUAGUAACCAAACAGCAUUUUCGAUUCAAUUUUUCAUACCUGAAUACGAGUUUUGCUUCAGUUUGAGCACUUGAAGAAGCGGCAGCUUUUCUAGUGUUGGCAUGGGAUCAUCCAUUAGGUCAGUAUUAGAAAAACUCAAGUGGGUUAGACUAUGAGGAAAUAGGUAUUCAGCAAGGACGAUUUUGGAGAGCCGUGGCAUCUUGCUUUCAUUCACCAGCUUCAACGACUCGAGACAGCUCAAUCUGCAGAGACUUUUGGAAAACAAAGAUUGAUUAUAACUUAAAUCUCCCCGUAUUCGGAGAUUUCGAAGAUUAGGUAGUCUGCCCAAUAUAUCUUCAGUACAGCAGCAAGGAUGCAAGGCAGAAAUGAAAUUGAGAUUUUCCAGAGAGCCGCAAUAUUUUCCUGGAUGCGCAGGAAGUGUGAUUGACCCAAAAUUUAGAUGCCUGAGUUUUUUCAUCUUCCAAAAUUCAUCUGCUGUAUGAUCUAUAUAGCUAAUGGGCAUGUCUAGGGUGUAGAGGUUCAGAAGAUUGCUUAACAAUGAGGAAGGCAGGCUUUUGAGGGAAGGGAUAUUCAACUUCAAAUAUCUCAAAAGAAAUAAAUUUUCAAUUCCGGAUGGAUACUGGAUGAGAACAAGAGAUUCCAAGUCCAAUACUCUGAGAAGUUUGAACAUUCCACAAAUGUUCUCCCAAUCCAUGGGGUCAAAGUGGCGGGUUUCUGGAGAGCAGAACAACAAAGACUGCAGUUGCGAGUCAUAAUCAUCUAAGCAAGCAAAAUCACCCUCUCUUUCAACAGCGUUUAACCGUUUGGCAUUUUUUUGUGAUUUACCUUCUGGAUCCAUGAAAGGGGAAAAGAUAAAUUCCACCCUAUAAGGAACUGUCAUCAACACAGGAUGGCAACGACCUGGAAUAGAGCAUGUGUUGAUAGUGCCUGCAGCUUUUCUCUUCUUUGCUUCAACAAAGCCUCCCUUGAUUAGUUGUUCUAAGUAAUUCUCAGCAGUUGCCUCACUAUUGUCUGGGAUGAAACCUUCAGCUAUCCACAACUGAUAUAACUGCCUGGUGGAUAUCUCUAGGUGUGCGGGAAACACAGAUAAGUAGAGAAAACAAAGUUUCAAGCAAAAAAGUAACCUGCAAUAUUUGAAGUACCGAAGGACAAAGGGUGUCUCGAAUACUUCCUCUAUAUUUUCUUCAAAUGAGAUGCUUCCAUGAUAUAAGAUGAGGAAAGGCCAUCCUUUAUAUGUAGCUCUCAAUGGUCCUCCAGUUGGCACUGAAUCAAGCCGAAUGUUCUCUCCGUCUUCGAGCUGAAAUGAGGUGACCAUCUUAAUUUGAGUGAGUGUUAUUAAUACUCUACUUCUAUUCUGAUUAUCCGGGAGUAUUUCUCGAAUAAUAUCCCUUACUUCAAUGUUCCACACAUCAUCAAUCACAAUCAAAUACCGCUUGGUCAUUAGAUAUUCAUGAAGAAUAAUUUUUUUCAUUUCAUAAUUUUUAUCCUUUAUUUCACUCAACCUAGAUCAAGGCAUCAGAAACUUAAUAAUGAUAUCUAAUAUUUGGUCCGCUUCAUACGGACAAGGCUCCUGAAUCCCAGUGUGACAAUCAAAAUAAUGCUUCACAUAACUGCUGUUGUAAGCCUCUCCGGCAAAAGCCGUCUUGUCCAACCCAAUGCUAUCAAGUAUGGCCACCACUGAAAGCUGAGGUGGUCCCUCGAUCAAUAGAUCUAACAACUCCUCCAUUCUAUCAUCUAGACCCACCAUGUCCCUACUUUUAGAAGAUGAAGAUAUACCGGCUUCAGCUUCCAGAUUUUUGAAGGCAUGAAAGAUUUCGGAAUCGAUGUGCGGAACUUGUUGAGUCCGUUGUUUUAUAUCAAUGAUUCUGCUUUGGAGUCCUAGCAGAGCAUCACAGAUGUCCUUGCUGCAGCUGCUUUGACUCUUCUGUUGAGUGAUGCUGUUGAUGAAUGUGUCAAUCACCUUCUCAGAUUCACAGGUAAAGCAAAUGAUUUCGUCCAUGACGGUCGCCAGAUCUGGGUUGUCAAUUUCAACUUCUCCUAUUUGUUGCAUCAGAAGCCAGGACGUUUCAUAUUCAAAGUCCCUCAGCCAAGAAGUAACGAUUUCAACCUCGGCAAGAAGGUUCUGAAUAGGUAGUUUUGCAGCAUCAGGCAACGUGACUUCUUCAUCAGCUAACACCCUUCUCAGCCUCUCUGAAAAUAGUCUGAAGUUGAUGUCCAUAUCUUCUCCUCUCUCAGUACCACCCUGUAAUCAGUCCUGUAGCAUGCAAAGAAAUAGUUAAAAACAGAGAGUUGGAAAGAAACUAUGCUUUAAAGCUCCCCUACCUCCGUUCUCUUAGCUAGUACUCCAUUCAAGAAAUUGAAUCGAGAUUGUUGACUCUCAAAUUAGAACAGAUCAAGGCAGAGCAGUGCCGUAAAUGAAUCUUACAAUACACUGUUCUCCAUAUGUUGUAAAAAGAAUAAAGCAGAAGAGAAUAAAUAGGUCUUGAUCAAGGAUCAAUCAAGACCAAUAUGUAUUAUACAUCCACUUUCAAGAAAGAAAAGGUCAAACCAAUUCCACCGGGACCAUAAAGCCUAUUUGAAAAGAAAAGAACAGAGCAAGAUCGUUAAUAAUUUAAGCUGUGGAAAAAUGCAAAAUCACGUCAACCACUUUCACUGGCGUGCAAAAGUUUUUAUGUAUCCACUGAAACAUUUAUUGUUGCUGAAUGAAAUGAUCUUAGGUUGACCUACACAACUCUUUCUUUCAGUACUCCAGUAGUGCAAGCAUGUCAGUUUAGUCAAUAGUUUCUCCUACACAUAAAUGAUGUUUAUUAUAGAAUUUUGAUAAUGGGUACAAUAAGAAAGUAGUUGCAGAGAAAAUAUUGGGGGUUGAUGUGAUAUCUAUUGACUUGGAGCAUAAUAAAUAAUUACAAAAUCAUUGUUUGUCUUUUAAUUUUCAUCAUACUCAUUAAAAAAGUAUUAUGAUUACAUAGUCAGUGAUUUAUAUUCACAGAAGACAAAAGUAAUGAAUAAAUAAGCUACCACUUGCAAUUAAUAAAAUGCUAACCCUAUCUGGUAAGGUAGCCCUGUUCAUUGAAAGCAAAAGCAACAGAAUCGUUCACUGUGCUGCCACAAAAUGAUUGUCAUGGAAGGCACCAAAGUUUCCAAGUAACAGACAAAGUCGAAGUAGUUAGCACUAUGAGGCGAGGCUGAAAAACUUGUUCCUCACGGUAAAUAAUUUUUAAUAACGACCUACUGCUAAUCAUUGUGUUUGUUAAUCUCUGCCUUAUGCCUUAGCUUUAACAGCACCUCCAUGUAAUCCUCUCAACCCAGUACACGGGAUCAGAGUCAGGCAAGCAUGAAGUUCAUCAGUAAUCAAAUCUCUUCGGUAAAUAAACAAAGCAUAUUGAUUGAGUGCCUCAGUGUAGCAACUGGAGUGCUUAAAACCAGAGAUACCUCAGUUGCUGCCCAAUAUCACAAUCCAAUCAAUCAAGAUGCUACCAAGAAUGAACUGAUUUGAAGUUCAAUUGAAAAUGGAAUUGAAACAAGAUGAUGAUGAAAGAACAGAAAGCAAUUAAGAUCAAAUUGAAUCAAAGAAUUGAAAGAACCAACAGAGGACAAAUCGAUUCAACGUGGUUCAGCUAAUUUGCAUUAGUUUGCAUCCAUGGGAGGAAAUUUCUGAUCAGUUUUUAUUGAUUCUUCAAGAUGCAUUACAGAGUACAAAGCAAGGAACAAGAUGUAUUACAUAACGCGAGUUAGCUAACUCUAACGAACGUAAGCAGCUUUCUACAAGCACGUGAGAUGUCCGUGCUUCAUUAAGCAGCUUUCUAGCCUUUUACUAGACGUGGUUUCAUUUUAUUGAACCAUUAGAGGGACACAUCAGUAGUCACAAAAAUGCCCCUGUAAUGGCAAUCCUUGUAAUCAUUUGGCUGCCGCUCUUCAUUCCACUCCCAAGUACGCAGCCCAAACUUCAACUUUCUCUGAGAAGGUAAUGAAGCGUGGCUCUGUCUCAGUAAUCUGUCUUUCAUAUUCCAUGAAAUGAGCCAAAGGAGGAAUGCUUCUAUAAUUAGUAGCAACCACCAAUCAUAUUGAAGGAAUUUUCUGCAACAGAUAAAGAAAGAGCAGCAGAGAACAAAGCUGUUAAUCAAUCAACACAUGUAAAGCAGUAUUAGUAUUUCUGCCUUAUUGUAGUGCCUAAGCGGGUAUUAGGAUUUCUUCACAAGAACGUUUACUAAGAUAUUCAGCCAAGUAUGAAGUUCAUCAAUAAUCAAUCUUUUCUGGAAAUAAACGAAGCAUAUCGAGUGCCAAACUUGCCCAGCCUUUGAAACAGGAUUUCAGAGAAAGCAACAGAACAAAGACAGAAAAUACAUUCAACUGAGCCCAACACCAGAAAGCAUCAUAAAUAUUAUUUAUUUUUUGUACACAAUUAACGAAACCAUGGCCGAAGCACAAAACAAUGAACUCUCAACUGAAAAUCCUAAGCGAAAUUUCUUAUUUAUGGAUAGACAGCUGAAACAAAGAAACCAAAAAAAAGUCCACCACCGUAGGAUCAGGAUUUAUUUGUGUAGACAGCAGAAGUGAAGACAGAAAGGAUUCUGGUUGGAAUUGAAGCUCGGGCUGCAGUUAUGAUGUUUUCUGCUCUGAUUUCACCUACACAAGUCAUUGAAGAAAUUGUGAAAAAUAAGAUUUUUUAAUUACAUUUUUUUGUCUUAACUAUUAAAACAAAUGAACGCGAUAUCUGCUAGGCUCAUGGUUGAAUAUACAAGGGUACUUAAGUCUCCACUUCUGCUAAAGAGGGCUUGAUGAUUGGGGUGAGUAUCGGAAACUCUAAAAGGUACUCAAUGUUGAGACAAAUUAGAAGAAAACACUUUGUAUAACCAUCUUUAUAUUGAAGAGAAGGGAAAAAAAAAGUAUAUGAAAUUGGAUAAAUAAUUAAAAGUUGAAUAAAUUGGUUAAAACGAGAAACAUACAUCAAAUUCAAUGGGGGCUAAUCAAAUUCCAUAAGGAUAUAGUUGAAUGCCGCACUGUUCCUUAUCCUCAAAUUCCCGUAGCUUUUGUCUCAGCUCUGGCUGAGGCCACCAGCAAUCGAACUUGUUUAAGCUCUUUAUGCACCAGAGCUGUUCAGGCAUCCUUUUCAAGUAAGCACAAGGGUUGAUAAUCAAGCAUUCUAGUUUUGGCAUGGCCCCCGUCCCCAUAGUCCACUCCUCUAGCCAUAGCAUUGAUUUCAGGUGCAAUACCUUGAGAUUUGGAAAACCAUCAGAGCCACAAGUCAGCUUCCUACCUGAAUACGAGUUUUGCUUCAGUUUGAGCACUUGAAGAAGUGGCAGCUUUUCUAGUGCGGGCAUGGGAUCCUCCAUAAGUUCCGUAUUAGAGAAACUCAAGUGGGUUAGUCUUGGAGGAAAUUGGUACUCAACAAGGACAAUUUUGGAGAAAGCUGGCAUCUUGAUUUCGUUCACCAACUUCAAUGACUCGAGGCAGCUCAAUCUGCAAAGACUUUGGGACAACAAAAAUUGAUAAUAACUUAAAUCUCCCCAUAUCCGGAGAUUUCGAAGAUUAGGUAGUCUGCCCAAAAUGUCUUCAGUACAGCAGCAAGGAUGCAAGGCUGAAAUGAAAUUGAGAUUUUCCAGAGAGCCGCAGUAUUUCCCUGGAUGCGCAGGAAGUGUGAUUGACCCAAAAUUUAGAUGCCUGAGUUUGUUCAUCUUCCAAAAUUCAUCUGCUGUAUGAUCUAUAUAGCUAAAGGGCAUGUCUAGGGUGUAGAGGUUCGGAAGAUUACUCAAUAAUGAUGGAGGCAGGCUUUUGAGGGAAGGGAUAUUCAACUUCAAAUAUCGCAAAAGAAAUAAAUUUUCAAUUCCAGACGGAUAUUGGAUGAGAACAAGAGAUCCCAAGUCCAAUACUCUGAGAAGUUUGAACAUUUCACAAAUUUUCUGCCAAUCUAUGGGGUCAAGGUGGUCGCUUUCUGAAGUGAAGUACAACAAAGAAUGCAGGUGCGAGUCAUAAUCAUCUAAGUAAGCAAAAUCACUCUGUUGUUCUAAAGCGUAGAAACGUUUGACAUUUUUUUGUGAUUUACCUUCUGUAUCCAUGAAAGGGGAAAAGAUAAAUUCCACCUCGGAAGCCACUCCUAACAAUACAGGACGGCAACGACCGGGAAUAGAGCAUGUGUUGAUUGUGCCUCCAGCUCUUCUCUUAUUUGCUUCGACAAAGCCUCUGUUGAUUAGUUGCUCUAAGUACUUCUCAGCAGUUGCCUCAUUAUUGUCUGAAAUGAAACCUUCAGCUAUCCACAGCUGAUAUAACUGCCUGGUGGAUAUCUCUAGGUGUGCGGGAAACACAGAGAAGUAGAGAAAACAAGGUUUCAAGACAAAAGGUAACAUACAAUAUAUGACGCAUUGAAGCCCAAGCGACAUGGUCAAUACUUCGUCUAUAUUUUCUUCCAAUGAGAUGCUUCCAUGAUACAAGAUGUGGAAAGGCCAUCCUUGGUAUGUAGCUCUCAAUGGUCCUCCAGUGGGCACAAAAUCAAGUCCAAUGUUCUCUCCGUUUUCGAACUGAAAUGAGGUGACAAUCUCAAUUUGAGCGAGUGUUAUUAAUACUCUACUUCCAUUCU